AAAUAAAAUUUCUUGAGUUCUUUCUAGGUUGAAAUACCUGUUUAAAACUUGUAAUAUAAUAAGACUUUCAAAUAACUUUAACUUAAAAAGCAUAUCUGGUAGAAUUAAUAAGCAUAUGCACCAUUAAUAACGAAAUAUAAAAUACAUUAAUAAGCUUCAAUAGUAGAAUUCAACAAUAAAAAGUUUGAAUUAAGGAAAACUUAAAUUAAUGAAUUUUGAGGCAAAGUAUCUAGCUCUAAAUGAAACUGUAGAGGUAGGACGGGAGAAAAAACUAAGUUCCCAAUUGGUACCUCGGAAAAUAUUACAACGAGAAAACUAUUGUGAGCAACUUCGUUUUCCUCCAAUGUUUUUGUGUCCUCCAGAAUUUUACCCUUGUAGCUGUGGAUACGCAUCUGUUGUGCAUCGGAGUAGAAAACUUGACCUAGAGCUGUAUUUAUGAUUUUCUUCACAUCACCAACCUAAAUAUUAUUUAUUAUAAUCAGUUUGUGCAACAGACGUAAAAUAAAACAAUUACAAUCAUCAAUUUGAUAAUUGAGCAUAAACACGGCAUGCAUGUAUAACAUACAAAAAUUAUUAAAUAGAAAAGAGAUCGAUAGUUACUGAGUGUUCCGGGUUCACUUCGAUCUCGAAUUGCGUGCCUACCAAAGUCCUCACAAAAAUCUUCAUCUUCAAAAGCUUCUUUACACGUCCUUCCAAUGAAUAUGUAAAAACGGUUUAGAAAGGUUAACGAAUUAUGUGUUAUCACGAUUUAUAUAAGGUAAUAAUUUGGGUACCACUAGGUUUUGUAACACUUCCUAAUUAAUAUAGCCCUAACUAUCCUUAUUUUUUUCAAAAUAUACUUGAUAUAAUAAAACUCUUAUUUCUCUAUUUGGAUACUAUGUCACAUUAAAAUUUUAGUUUAUAAAUAUGCUUCUAUAAAAAGAUGUAUUUUAGGGGGUGACUAAAUUGUUUCGGGAAAUAAGACAUCGACGGUCAAAAAAGGAAAAAGAAAAUCUAACCGACUUAGAAAGAAUAAUUGGGAUAAACGAAUUCUACACUUAGAAAGGAUUUUUGCACUUAAAAUAUGAAGAAAAAAAUUAAUUAAAUUAAUCCAAUGAAAAAUUUCAACUAUAAACUCGAUUAUCACGUUUGUGUGUAAAUUUUAACACGAAUCCUACAAGAAAUCUGCACUUAAUUAUGGAAGGAAAACUGAAUUACAUUAAACCCCGAUAAACUCCUAACCCGUCUUGUCUGCAUCAAUUUUUACUUUUAUUUUAAAAAAUAAAUAGAAACUUACUGAAAUUUCACUAGUUUAGGAGCUAAUUACUUAAAUACACGCUAGUUUGCAAUAUUACGAAUCUUACAAAUUUUGGUGUAUCCGGAUACGUUCAGAUAUAUGUAUGUCAGGAUACAUAGGAUAAAAAAAAUUAGGUGUAAUUUGCUCUAAAUAUAUUGUAUCCAAUUGGAUUCACAUGUAUCUAGGACAUAACAAAUUUCGCUUGCCUCUUUCACAUCCCUCCUAUUUUCCUCGUCACUCUUAUUUAAUAUAUCAAAUACGUGUGAAUCACGAUUUGCACUAAAUCAAGCAAUAGAGCGCCCUCCCCUAGUUUGGUAGAUAACUGCUUGCAUUUAUUAAGCAUUGUACACUUGGUUCAUUUUAUAACAUAGCACUGUUGUGUUGCAAUAAUAUAGUGGUUGGUUGGCUCGUCAUAAAUAUAUACAUAACCAUAGCCAUAAUUUAGUAUAUUUUCCUUCUCACUUUAUUAGGUUUGUUCACUCGUUAAUUAGUUAGGCUUUUAUUUCUUGUAUAGGUGUAUGAAGCUAACAACUAGUCAAGUACAAUACUCCUUACGUUUUAUAUUAUUUGACUCUCAUUCUGAAAAUAGUUUUAUAUUUUUAUUUAAUUUGUAAAAUAAAAAAAUAAUUAUCACGUAUGGAGUACAAUUUUUUCUUAUUCUGAGUAGACAAAUUAAAUUUUUUACAACAUCAUUAAUAUAAUUAAUUUAACAACAUACAUCUCUACCUUAAAUUUUCUUCAAGAUCGUAUACAUAUAUAUUAAUCGGAGUCAAGUAAUAUGUAACGAAGCAAAAAAGUACUAUGUUUUGUUGUUCAUACACAUGAAUGAAAGCAACUGAAACACUUCAAUGAAUGCAUCCAAAGCAGUGUCAUCGGAUAUGUCUGGUCAAUUGAUGGAUUUGAUAUUUUUAACCUAUCGAGUUUUAAUAUAGACAACAUAUACCACACACUAACCCUUAACCGUGUUUGGUUCUUAUUGCUGUAUUUUUUUUUAGCUAUGAACAUUGUUUGAUUUCAUAAGUUCAUAGAGAAUUAGUGUUAUAGAAAUCUCAUAAAAGCAUUUACACUUUACACUUACAUAGAUAAUUCUUAAAUAUGUCAUCUCGUAAAUACACUAUUCGAUUUACCACAUAUCAAACUUAGAAAUUAUUUAAAAUCUUAAUGUCUAACAAAGUUGAUUCAUGAAAAUGUACUAUAAAGUUAUUUUGAUAAAGUUGAAUUGUCAUCAAUAUCAUUGUUUGAUCUUCUUGAACUUAGAUUUGGGUUCUCCAAGUUAUCGUUACAAUGACUUGUGAUCAUAAUUUCAUUACCCUUAAUGAUCUUUUAAAUACCUCUCUAGCACAUGACUUAACAUAGCCAAUUAUAUAUGAUAAUUCUAUAAGAGAAAAAUUAUCUAACUAACUAACUAACUAUAUAUAUAUAUUGUAGCUUUAUUAUUUAUGAUAAGAUUUUUCUUUAUACAUAAUAUUUUCAGCUCUUUCUAUUGUCGUUUGACUGUCACCAGAGGCGUAUCCAGGAGGGGGUCACUGGGUUCACGUGAACCCAUGCUCCCCUCCUGAAUUCAUAAAUGGUAGUGUUAUAUUUUUAAAAAUAUAUGUAAACAUAGAUGUGUGAACCCACACUUGAAGUAUCAUAUAAUGUUGUGCGAUGAUGAUUGGGUGCACCUCUGAGGCUAGAAAUUUGGAUCUUUCAUUUAUCUUGUUUUAUUUUCUUUCUAAAAUUGGGUAACACCUCUCUAAGUGGUUUGGAUAGAUACAAAAUAAUUUUGGACCUAUAAUUUUAAAAUUUGAAUGAUUUUCAGUGAUAAGAACCUAAAUGUUAAACUGAUCAAAUUUAUUUCUUAAUCCAUCUUUUCGUAAUAGUGCACCCAUCCUCUCAAAAUCCUGGAUAUGCCUCUGUGACUGUCACAAUAUAUAGGAGAAUGAUUUGGGCCAAAAUAGAAAGUUUUACCUAGAAUAUCAUCGAUAAAAGAUGACAUUGAUUCUCAAAUCUCAAGCAUGCUAGAAUGUAUACAUGAAAAAUUAUAUGGAAUUUUUUUUUAUAAACAAAGAUACUUAUAUUAAUAACACUCAGUAGGUGUUUGACCAUGCAAUAACAUAUCAUGAUAUGAAAUCAAUGUUUGGACAUGUGAUUUCACGCUGAUUUCAUCUCAUGAUUUUAUAUUAUGAGAUGAAAUUCCAUAUUCUUCAAAAAUCAUGAUUUGAGAAUUUCAUAUCAUAAUUUGAGAUUUUUAAAUACAAAAAUUGACCCACAAGUAUAUAUUUUGUUAAAACACCCUAACAUACUAGCCAUUUAUUUCAUAUGUAAAUAAAAUUUAUAAUCAUAUCAUUACUUUUUAAAAUUUGUUAUUCUCACCAACAUAAAAUUUAUUAUUACUUUAAAUCAAUUCUUUCUUUAUCAUUUAUAUUAUUAUUUUUUAUCAAAUUUAUUUAUUACCACUACUUUAAUGUUUAAUAAAAUAAAUAAAUUUUCAUCUAUAUUGAGUGAACAAGACUGGCCACAAUGGCUAAUAAUUUAUUAUGUGAUUUUAUAAGUUUUUGUUUAUUUGGUAAGAUUAAAUAAAUUAUUGAGACAUUUUUAAUAGUUCUACAACUUAUGAGAUUCUUAUGUUUAUGAGAAAAUACACAACACAAAAAUUCUAUAUUGCAUAUCCAAACAAAACUUCAACUCUAUUUCAUAAUUUCAUAUUAUGAAAUUCAUAUCACAUGGCCAAACGGACCCUUAAUAUGCAUCAAUACAUGAUAGAGCGAAUUGACCGUUAUUUAGUAUGCGGGUAGGGGGUGACUACUAUGAGUAUUACAAGAGUUUUCCAUAGUUGGAGACUUGCUGUAAAUUUAUAUGGACUUAUUUACUUAUCUAGCUGGUCAUGCAAAUAUUAUAUGAUCUUAAAUUCUAAUAGAUAUAUUUAGUCCAUGUGUGUCUCCGACCAUGUCACAAUCUAGCAUUUGCAAAGCACAUAAUGGCACAAUGUUCAGAUUAGUCAAUUAAACACAUCCACCUCCAUAGUACUAAAUAAUUUACAUUUCAAGUUUUUGAUAAUUAUUGUUUAUCACUUAUGAUAAGUAAUGUUGAACAUCAUACAUCUCAUGUUUACAUUUAUAAACGAUCUUGUUAGCUCACUCAUAAUUAGACACUUGCAAUUAAUAGAAAGAUCGUAUUAUGAAUUAAAGACUAUAAAGUAAAUACAUUAGAGAGAUAUACUAAUAUAUUAUUCAACUUUGUACUAAUAUAUAAAUGAACUGAAUUAACUUUCUAUUUAUUAAAAAAAUGCUAGGAAAAAAAAACAAAGUUCACUACGUAUCAUGCAUGAUGCGUCAUUCACGACACAUUGUAAUAUAUACCUCUGCAUGCUUGAACUACUUGUAAGCUAUCUGUUUGAGUUAUUUAUAAGAUAUCUGCUUGAUUACAAACUUAUCUUUGAGAUUAUCUAUUUAAAUCAACAUCCAUAAUACGUGUUGGAAAAUAGGAGAACAUAUAAAGUAGUUUUGAUGAUUGAUAAAGUGAACAUGGUUCACUACUUGUUGUCUUAUGCGCACUCUAUCAAGUGAAUCAGGUUCUCAGACGUGACUGCAGACAAUCUAUACAAAUAUGAGAGAUUGCGGCAAAGAAGAAAAAGUGCAGAAAUAAAUGAGUAAAAAAAUAAAUAAAGAAAGAGUUGAAAUGCAAAAGCAAAGAAGGAAAGAAAUAAAGAAGGAAAGAAACAAAUAAGGAAAGAAAUAAAGAAGUAGCAAUUCAAGUCAAAUAAGGAAAGAAGUAAAUAUAGACAAGUUCAAGAAGGAAAAGAUUUGUUAUUCCUUUCCUUGUAGAAGUUGAUGAAGGCAAAUCAAACUCUAUAAAAGGUUCAAGCCAAAGAAGAAAAAAGUCGUCUUUGCAUAAACACAAAUCGAAAGAAUUUUCCAGCAAAGCCAGAAAGAUAACUAUUGCAUAUUCACGAAAUUUAUCAUCUUGAGAGCAAUAGUCAUUGGAGAAAAAUCACAGGGCUUCAUUACAGAAACACAAGGACCAGGUUCAAGAGUUGUGUUCCACUCUGAACUAUUGAAUGUUGAAGUCUGUCAAUUAAAGUCAAGGGUUAUUAGUCUUUGUUGAUUUGUUCUAGGUUUAUUAUUGAGUUAUAAUAAUUCCUAGAUUUUGUAACAAGAAGUGAGUUUGACUUCUUGGGGGGUAGAGUCUUGAGAGAAUUGUAACAAGAAGUGAGUUUGACUUCUUGGGGGGUAGAGUCUUGAGAGAAUUGUAACAAAGAGAGAGUUUGUGAGAAUUGUAAACAAGAAGUGAGUUUGACUUCUUGGGUGGUUAGAGUUAAGAAGAGUUACCUGGUUCUUGAAUACUGGUAAGGCCGUUUCUUUAAUUGGUAUCAGAGCAGGUCUUUUUAUUAAAAGACUCAUAUCUUGAAAAGGAUCAAUGGAUGCACCACCUACACCACAAGAAUGAGCUUCUCAAACUCGACCACCACUUUACAAUGGAAAGUACUAUGGAUGGUGGAAGAACCGCAUGAUGGAUCACUUAAUAGGAGAAAAUCCAGACCUAUGGGGAGUCGUGUUGGAUGGUCCAACCAUACCAUGAAGAAUGAAACUGAUGGAACUACUCAAGUACCAAAGGACAAGAAAUAAUGGAAUGCUACAGAUAAACAUGCAAUUCAGAACAAUGCUAAGGCUAAAAAGAUCUUGAUAUGCGGAAUAGGUCCAGAUGAAUACAAUCGAAUCUCAUCAUGUCAAGAUGCAAAAGUAAUAUGAGAAACUUUGCAAACUGCGCAUGAAUGAACAACUCAGGUAAAGAAGUCUAAAAUUGAUAAUUUGAACAGACAAUACAAAUUGGUUCGAAUGGAAGAAGGUGAAACAAUUCAAGAUAUACAUACAAGGUUCACUGCAAUCAUUAAUUAAAUCUACUCACCAGGAGAAAUAAUUCUCAAUGGGAAGGCAGUCAGAAAACUUUUGAGUAUUCUUCCAGAGUCUUAGGAAAGCAAAGUAGAAGCCAUUACUGAAGCACGUGAUCUAGAUAAGUUAGCUAUAGAUGAACUCAUCGAAAAUCUCAUGACCUAUGAACUCAAGAAAAAUCAAGAAAAGAAAAUCGAUGGAAAAAAGAAGGAGAAGAACAUGGUUCUUGAAGCAAGAACACCAAAAGAUUUUAAGGACGAAAACAUCGCGUUUAUGACCAAAAAGUUCUCAAGAAUGUUAAAAAGCGUACAAGUAUUUCAAAGGAGGAACAGUUCGAAAAAAGCAAAAGAGAUCAAGAAUGAUAAGUACAUUCCUACAAAUAGACGAAUGACCAACCAAGAAGCAGAUCUCUCGAUGAGAAAGGCCUUUACCGCUAUGAGAGACUCAUCGGAAGGAGAGUCUAAGGAUGAAGGAUUCAAAAUCAGUCACUACUUGCAAUAGAGGAAACAUAUAAAUAUGACUUUCUUGCACUAGUUGCUGAAACAGAAUUAAAAGAUGAGAGAAACACCUGUCAAACACAAGAAAAAAUUCAGGCACUAAUGGUUGGAACAGGUUCUGAUGAAGAUGAAGAAGAGGAAAAACAACCAGAGGUAAGUUUCCUUGAAACUAAGUCUAAAAUAAAUAUGUAUUCCAAGAAACAAUUACAAUCCCUAUCUUCAGUUAUUAUUGAUGCAUACUAUCUAGUGAAUUUCGAAAAGAAUCAAUUAAUGGAUGAGUAUGCAUCCCUAAGACUUGACUGUAUGACAUUGGAAUAUCAAAUUGCUUCUUAUGAUAACACUAUCAAUGAUCUAAAAGAACAAGUUAAUACCAUAGAAUUAAGUCACAAGGGCAAAAACUCUGCUAGUGAACUUCAAUUAGCUUUGAAAGAAGAAAUAAAACGGUUAACCAUAAAUUGUCAGGCCUUGACCGAAAGAAAUAGGCUGCUACAAGAAAAUCUUGAUAAGACCAAACUUGAUCUGGAAUGAAAUCUUAGAUGGACCAGGUCUUUUGAAAUUUUGACGCAGAUUUAAGAAAGGCAGACCACCGGUCGAAGUAGGAUAGGUUUUAGAAAACAGAAAAAUCUUGUAGCACACACUAUUCAUAUGCCUAAAAAUUUAUGCACUCAUUGUGAAAAAUCAGGUCAUUUAAGGAAUCAAUGUAAAGCUCUAUUUGAGGCCUUUCAGAAAAAUGUUAAGUUCACCAAAAAAGAAAAGGCUGAAACGAUUAAGAACCUGAUUCCAAAUAAAAAUACUCCAGAUAAAAGGUCUUCUUAUUUGCCUUUCUGGGCUAGAAUAGAUCUUAUUCAUCCUUUUACUCACAAAAAGGAGCCCAAGCUAAUCUGGCUUCUCAAGGAUAAUUUUUGACUAGUGUUUCAAGUGAAGGUGAGAGGAAAAAAGGUCAACUUGGUACAUAGAUAGUGCAUGCUCCAAACAGGUGCUAGAAAUGGUAGAAAAUUUCCUCUCACUCUCUGAUUUUCAAGGCAACUGUGAAGUCCUUGAAAAUGAUGAGAAAGGUGAAAGAGUCAAGAUUGACAAAGUUGAAAAGUCACAACCACAGGCCAUAGAGAAUGCGUUUUAUGUUCAAGUAUUGAACCACAACACGUUGAGCAUCUCUGAAAUUUGUAAUAAAGAAAAUAAUGUAUUGUUCAGAUCAGCUGAGUAUCGUGUGCCAAAUUGUAACUCCAGGAACCUGGUUCUGAAAAGACGCUAAAGAAAGUGACCUGAUAUCAAACAUCUUUGAUGAUGCAAAUUUUGGGAACAUCAUCGAUGAACCUGGUUCACAUCUAACAAUCAUUGAUGCACCUGCAACAGAAGAUACUGGAUUAACCCAUGGUUUUAGAGAUAGGGGGAAUAACAGAGCAAUUAGGAUAGUUAGAGUCUGGUAGAUCUUUAGGGGGAAUUUCGAUGUGCGAACCUGGUCCUUGUUAUUCGUUGGAAGUUAUUGAAAAUUGAUAGGACCUGGUUCUCUCUUCUACUCAGCUUGAGAUUCCUUUGAUCUGGGAGAAUCUGAUGAUGCAGACAUACUCAUGAAGGCCUUGAAUAUGGAGAAUUUGAGAAAAUGAGCCAAAACUUGGUUUGUCGAAACAAGCUGAUGCAUUAUCAUGAUUUCCUUUAAUAAUUGGUUAGUAAACUAAUAAUCUUAUGCUUGAGUAAUUAUACAAUGAAUAUCUGCAAACUCAGUCUCGUACUAUAACAGGUACACACUACAAGCAUAUCUCAAACAAUGUUUAGAAGGUCUGCGAAUAUUAUCCCUACUCUUUUACUAACAACAUUAAGCAAAUCAUUGAGGAACACACAAAAGGGGAACCUGGUUUCUCUGUAAUACUCAGGUAUGUACCAUCCUUUUUCAAUGCAUGAAUUUUCUGAGUUUGUGUCAAACAUAAGCACUAGUGAACCUGGUCGAUCAUAAAUAAAUCAAUUCUUUUAAAAAUCACCAAGAACCAUUUCUUUGACAAUAAGCAUCAUUCAAUCUGAAACCACUCAAAUGAUGAAAACCUUAGUUUUGAAGCCACCAUUGCUUUAAUUUAAGGGGAACUUUGUUUUACCUCUCACAUAUGAACCAGGUUCACAAAUUCCAAAUUGAUAUUCCAUCCAUUCCAAGUGUAUAACCAGUUAUCUCUCAGGAGGAACAAUUCUCUUAAGAACAUACUAUUAUCGGUGCUUGCCUUCAUUAUUGAUAAAUUCAUCUCUAUUGUACUAAACUAUGAUGAAUGUCUUACUUAUAGUUGGUACUCCUUCGAAAUAUCAUCAAGAAAAGGGCUAUAAAAAAACCACGGAGGAGUGAAAAUGUUAUGGAAUAGAAUUAAAAAACAUGAAAUGAAAAGUUUUUUUAAAAAACAGCUUCAUAACUCAAUUGUUGCUCAUAAUGCAUGACAAUAAUACUCAUCUGGUCUUGUUAAACUGAUUAUGCUCAACUAAUGAUGGACCUCAUAUUGCUCUUGAUGUAAUUUCACAUUCUAAGAAAACUAAUCACAACUAGGGCUGGGAAUAAUAUGGUUAAAACCGAAUAAACAGAUCGAAUCGAUUUCUUUUACAUUUCGAUUUCAAUUUUUUUGGUUAUUUCGGUCGGUUUUGAUUUCGAUUUCGAUUUUCAAUAUUUCAUUUUUUCGGUUCGAUUUUCGGUUUUUAACUUAAAAAAUUUGGUUAACCAAAAAAACCAAAAUUAUUUGUAUAUAUUCUUUACCCCCCUUAAAUCUUAAUUAACUUUCAGCCUAUGCCCAGCUCAGCCGGCCCAAUCAUAUCUUAUAGCCCACAACCUUAACAUCAAAUUCCAAUAAAAAAUCAGCCCAUGCCCAACCCAAAUUCCAAUCAACAUUCAAAAAUUCCUAAACUGAUUUCUCUAACAUCAGUCAUCUCUCAUCUCUCAAAAUGCGUCGCAACUCUCAUUUCUCAUCUCUCAACUCUCGUCACUCGUAAGUCGUCUCUCAUCUCUCAACUUUCGUCUCUCAACAGUUAACUCUCAUCUCUCAACUCUCGUCUUAGUUACAACUUACAUCGCAUGCUCACAGCUUGUCUCUCAACUCUCAUCCCUCAUCUCUCAAUCUCAGCUCGUCGUUCGUUGCUCCUGGCUCAUCGCUAAGUGCUCGGCUGCUCGCAAGUCGCAUAGUUGCAUGUACAGUCCACUAUUGCUCAGUGCACUACUCGCGACUCGAAAAUCUAAAGUCAGUGCUCACUGGAUAUGUUUAUACAUCUCGUCUUAAGUCUUAACUUCAUCUAUAAAUCUUUAUAUAUGUUAUAUUCAAUUUCAAAUAUAAGAUGAGUUAGGACUGAUCAUGAAAGUAUUUUUUAUCCUCUACCAUGGAAGUUUUGCUUCUAUCUAUUCUGUUUAAGUGUCUGUUAGUUGGGGACUGAUCGAUGAGUCGGUUAGCAUAAUUAGUUAAAAUACACAUGACAUUUUUAGACAUAGGAAUUAGGAUGUAUUGGUACAUGUAUGAUUUGUGAAUUCUAUUGCUGUAAAUUGUGAAUCCUCUAUUGUUUUUUAAUCAUUGAAUGCAACUAUGCAGUAAUGCAACUAUGUGAUAAUUUGUGUGAUUUGUGAACUGUAAUGUACUGUGUGUCUGUCUUUCUGAAUUCUGAUUGUUGUUCUUCUUGUUUGUUUCACUUUUUUACAGAUGACACAAAUUGAAUGUAGGGUAAGUAAAAGUGGAGCUUCAAAUGAGAGCAUACCUAACACCUCAUCUCCCAAUAAGGUUGAAGUUGAUGUUGAUACUUCAAAGAAAAGAAAAGAAAAGUCAUGGAACCUAGAGCUACUUGUUGGAAGCAUUUUGACAAGUUCACUGAUGAAAGUGGAGCUAAGAAAGCCAAAUGCAAGUAUUGUGCGAAACAUUAUGCAACUUCUACAUCAAGUAAUGGCACGUCGUCAAUGAAUACUCAUAUGAGAAUAUGUCCUAAAUUUCCCCGUGACACCGUAGAUAAAGGUCAAAAUCUAAUUAAUUUUCUACCAUCCUCAAUGGGAGCAAAGGAAGGGGUGAUUAGCACUUGAAAAUUUGACCAAGCACAAAGUAGGAGAGCUUUAGCCAAAAUGAUAAUUGUUGAUGAGCUACCGUUUAGUUUUGUUGAGAAAGAGAGUUUUAAAACCUUCAUGAGAGUUACAGUGCCACAAUUUCAUAUUCCUUCUCAUAGAACCGUGACGAGAGAUUGUUAUGAACUAUACCUUGAAGAAAGACAACUUUUGAAGAAGGUUUUCAAAGAAGCACGUCCAAGAUUUUAUCUUACGACAGAUACUUGGACCUCUAUACAAAAAAUCAACUACAUGUGUCUGACAACCCACUUUAUAGAUAGAAAUUGGAAUUUGCAUAAAGAAUAAUAAAUUUUUUGUCCUAUUUCUAGUCAUAAGGGCGGGGAUAUGGUGGCUUGCAUUACUAAUUGUUUGCUUGAAUGGGGUUUGGAUAAUAUGUUUACUAUUACAGUUGAUAAUGCUAGUUCUAAUGAUGUUACUGUGAAAGAAAUGUCUAAACAAUUGAGUAAUUGGGGAACUAACAUUAUGGAUGGUGAUCAUCUUCAUGUGAGGUGUAUGGCACAUAUCCUUAAUCUUAUUAUGCACGAUGAGUUUAAGGAAAUUGGUAAGUCUGUCAAGCUAGUGAGACAAGCCGUGAAAUACAUUAAACAAUCUCCCGCAAGAAUUCGAAAGUUCAAAGAAUGUUGUGAAUCUCAAUUGAUAACUUGUAAGAAAUCAUUAUGUUUAGAUGUUCCUACUAGGUGGAACUCUAUAUAUUCGGUGCUUGAUAUAGCACAACAUUUUGACCUUGCAUUUGAAAGAUAUAGUUUUUAUGAUAUUGGAUACUUGAAUCAUCUUCGUACCUUUGGUUCUGAUUCUUCUGAAGGUGAAGAUGGAACUAGUGCAAAAGAUGAAAUUAGUGCAGAUAUUCUUACAAGUGCUGACUGGAAAAAUGUGAGGUCAAUGGUGAAAUUUCUUGAAACUUUUUAUAUACUUACUUUGAAGGUCUCUGAUUCUAAUUAUGUCACUAGCAAUACACACUUUGUUGAAAUUGCUGAACUUAAUCUUAUUUUGAAAGAGAUGAUGGAAAAUGAAGAUGGUAAUUUGAAAGAAAUGACAAAAAGUAUGAAGGAAAAGUUCAAAAAGUAUUUAGGUGAACCACAUAAAAUGAAAAAGAUGAUCUUUAUUUUAUCCGUGUUGGAUUCCCGUAACAAGCUUGAUUAUGCUCCAUUUGCAAUUGUGGAUAUGUUUGGAAAAGAAGUUGGGGACAAGCUAUGUUCAGAAGUGAAAAAAUACAUGAAAAAAUUAUUUGAUUAUUAUGUUGAGAAAUCCUCGAAAAGCUCUUUACAUGUACCAUCUUCACCCACUUCAUCUGACAACUCAUCAAGUAUAUCUAGUGUGAGUGGAUCUGGCAACUUUGUAAAUAGAGGAAGAAUGAGAACGAAACAACAAUUUGAGAAGCAUAAAGAAGUUAGUGGAAGUUCAGGUAGUAAAUCAGAAUUGGAAAGAUAUCUUGCUGAAGAUAUUGAGCCAGUUAGUGAUGACUUUAAUAUAUUAAUAUGGUGGAAAGUAAAUGAGCCGAGAUUUCCUAUUCUCACGAAGAUGGUUCGUGAUGUGUUAGCCAUUCCCAUUUCAAGUGUCGCAUCAAAAUGUGCAUUCAGCACAAGAGGUCGUGUUCUUAAUCCCUUUAGGAGUUCAUUAACUCCUAAACUUGUGCGAUCUAUUAUUUGUGGUCAAGAUUGGCUUAGAAAUGAGCCUUUUCCAACCAACAUUGAGGAAGAUUUAGAGUAUUUUGAGCAACUUGAACUUGGUAAGAAUUUGGUAUUUGUAUUAAUUAUAUUAAAAUAAUUUUCUUACUUUUGUUUCUUAAAAACUAACAAAUUCUUUCAUAUAUUUUUUUUAGAUUUUGCUUGUAAUGGGAUUGAAUCUAGUAUUAUUGAUAUAUAGUUGCAACUUGUAAGUUCAACUAUCAACUAAUGAUGCGUGGUAAUGGGUAAGUAAAGAACUUAUUUCCAUAACUUGCUUGAUAGUUUUAUAUAUUUUAUAUUGAAAUGUAGAUCAUUUGUCUGAAGAGUUCUAUUUUCUCGCAGGCACAUCAAUGUUUUGUUAUUUUCUUGAUUGCUAUCUGUUGGAACUUGGGAACUAUUGCAGUGGAGGUUGCAAGUUACAACAAUGUUUUGUUGGUUUUUUAAUGUUUUGGUUGCUGGCUUGCUGCAAAUUGUAAUGCUGCCUACUGGCAGCUAGACUUUUCACUUUAGUUUGUAACUAACUUUAUUUUAGGGCUGGGCACAAGUUUGUUGAAUUUUCUAGUGUUGUUGGCUUGACUCUUGCUAGUCUUUUUAUUCUUAUUCUCGACUAGUUUGUUAAUGUUGCUGCCUGCUGGACAAGAAUUAUCUAUUUUGUUUGGAUAUUUUAGUCAAUGAUAUGGUAAGUUUCAAGUAAAAGGCUUGUGAGUUGUGACGUGCUUAUAAAGAAGGGUGUCUACUGUCCUGCACUUGUUGAUUUAUGGGUCUUGACUCUUGAAUAUGGUAUCCUCUGGGAGCUCAUUGCAUUUGUUUACUGCUAAGAAACAACUUGAAUGGUUGAAAGUUGAGACUUGGUGAAACAAAUUAAGGCUAAGAAAGUCAAAUUUUGAUCAGUUUAUAAUCAAGUCAGCAGAAAAUUAUCCAGAUGCCACAGCCCACUGGCCGCGUUAAUUAAAUUUGGUUUAAUCGAAAUAAACCGAAUCGAAAUUGUAAUAAAUUUGGUUUGGUUUCAUAUUUUGCCAAACCGAAAACCGAAAAAACAUAACCGAACCGACCGAACACCCAGCCCUAAUCAUAACGAAGGAGCUGGUGCACAAUGGGCGUACUGAAAAAAUUAUUGAUGACAGUAAACAUUCUUUUUCUCCCCACUUUAGUAAUCUUUGUCCCAAUCCUUAUCCUCCAUUUUUCCAUACUCUUUGAUGUACUUAUGUCUGUCUCAUACUCAUGAUAUCAUAUGCUUUUGAAUUAGGGCUCUAAAGGCUUAAACUGGUACAUAUUUGUUUAUUUUGUUUCACAUUGAAGAUAUUAAUUGUGUGUGAGUUUAAGAUGACUAAUAUCCUCAGAUUAACUUACUGUAUUGUUAGCAGAAGUGCACUUGAAAGUGUUGCCCAAGUGGCCAUGAGUUAAAAUGAUAUUGCACUCAUUGAAUGUUAAUCGAGUUCUUUGGUUAUUGGUUUUCAAUGAUGCCAAAAGGGGGAAGUUAUAUGAUGUGGGUUAGGGACAUAUUAUGCAUAGUUUGUGUCAUCAUAAAAAAGGGGGAAAUUGCUGGGAAAUGAGAGAACAUGAAGUUUGUAGUUUUGAUGAUUGACAAAGAGUCUUGAUGGUUUGUAGUUCUUGAUGUGUGACAAAGCAUUGUUUAUCAUCAUCAAAAAGGGGGGAAAUAUUGGGAAGUAGGAGAACAUAUAAAGUAGUUUUGAUGAUUGAUAAAGUGAACAUGGUUCACUACUUGUUGUCUUAUAUGUACUAUAUCAGGUGAACCAAGUUCUCAGACGUGACUGUAGGCAAUUUGUACAAAUAUGAGAGAUUACGGCAAAGAAAAAAAAGUGUAGAAAUAAAUGAGUGGAAAAAGAAAUAAAGAAAGAAUUGAAACACAGGAGCAAAGAAGGAAAGAAGGAAAGAAACAAAUAAGGAAACAAAUAAAGAAGGAAAAGAAGGAAGUCAAAUAAGGAAAUAAAUAAAGAAGUAGCAAUUCAAGUCAAAUAAGGAAAGAAGUAAAUAUAGACAAACUCUAGAAGGAAAAAGAUUUGUUAUUCCUUUCCUUGUAGAAGUUGAUGAAGGCAAAUCAAACUCUAUAAAAGGUUCAAGCCAAAGAAGAAAAAAAUCUUCUUUGCAUAAACACAAAUCGAAAGAAUUUUCCAUAAAGCCAGAACGAUAACUAUUGCAUAUUCACGAAAUUUAUCAUCUUGAGAGAAAAAGUCAUUGGUAAAAAAUCGUUGGACUUCGUUACAGAAACACAAGGACCAAGUUCACGAGUUGUGUUCCACUCUGAACUAUUGAAUGUUGAAGUCUGAUCAAUUAAAGUCUAGGGUUAUUAAUCUUUGUUAAUUUGUUCUAGGUUUAUUAUUGAGUUGUAAUAAUUCCUAGAUUUUGUAACAAGAAGUGGGUUUGACUUCUUGGGGGAGGGGGGGUAGAGUCUUGAGAGAAUUGUAACAAGAAGUGGGUUUGACUUCUUGGGGGGUAGAGUUAAGAGAGAGUUUGUGAGAAUUGUAAACAAGAAGUGGGUUUGACUUCUUGGGUGGUUAGAGUAAAGAAGAGUUGAGAGUUUUUGUAAACAUGAAGCGAGUUUGACUUCUUGGUGAGUUGAGAGUUUUCAAUUAUAGUUAAUCGAAAAGAGUAGAAGUUUAGAGUUAGAUUCAUUGAUUAACUGAGUUGUAAAUCUUUAAUUAAUAUAAAACUUUGGUGUGGUUUUUCCCUUCCUUAAGUUAGGAAGGUUUCCACGAAAUAUUGGUGUUACUGUUUACUAACGUAAGUGUCUUGUGUGUUAUUCAAGAACCUAGUUCUUGAAUAUUGGGUAAGGUUUCUUCAAUACGAUAUAUUUAUAACAAUAGUAAAUAUGUUCCAAAUAAAAGUGAUAACAAAAAUAACCAUAUAAUAAAUAAUAAUAGCUAGAAUAGUGUAUCGAACAAAUUUCUCUUAUUAAUAAGCGAGUACAUUGACCUGCUUAGGGUCAACAUGCCUACUUCAGCUACUGGAAGCAAGCAACUCUUCAUUGACAUGCCUACUUUUAUCCGAGGGUGGUUGUAACACCUCGCAACUAGAAAGAAGUUUAAAAUCUGGAAAUAGUCAUUUUUGGAAAGUAUAAGGAAAUCUGGAAAAUUUUAAGCAAGUUAAAGUGAGUUUUUGGUCAACUUCAAACGACCAUAACUCCUAGAUCAGGAUGAUUUAGGUGUAGUUCCAGAUAUGGUUGGAAAUCUCUUAGAAUGAUGUUUCCAACGCCGCCAAGUUUGCAUGAUUCCGAGUUUGGAUGAGUGAGUUAUACCCUUUGGAAGUUGGGCUGUUGGAUUAAAGAAAUGUCCAAUCCGGAACUUUAAGGGGUAUUUUAGUCUUUUCAUUGCCAUAUUAUUUUAAUCCAUUUUUAGGAGUUUAAUAUGGCUCAAAUCAGAUUUUAGUCAGUUUUAGAAUUUGGGUUUUCACGUUAGGGCUAAGGAGAAAGGAAAAGAAGAAGCAAGAACGUUCAAGAUCGUCGAAGUUUGGCUUGUGGAAUUCAUCGGGGGUGAUCCCUACAAGGUAUGCAAGAUCACAUAGCGUCGGGUUAGUUCACCCACGCGCCAAGCAUAUUUAAUUCAGUGAUUUUCAUUUUAAAAGAGUUAGAAUUUGAUGUCUUGAGUUGUGUUCUUGAAUUGUUUUCAUUCUUGAACUUACAUGUGAUUGAUGGGUUUCUUGAGACGUUUUAGCAAUUGUUAAGAGGUGUUUCGAGUUAGAUUCUAGUGUACAUGUGUUGGGUAUCUGAAUCUAAGAAAGUAUUGAGAAAAGAAAUCGAUUUAAAAUGAUUUAGGAUCAGAAUACGAGUUGAAAAACUCGCCAGACGCACCUGGGAGGGCCAGGCGCGUCGCACCCCCAUAGCACCAGGAGGCUGGGGCGGCGCUCCUGUAGUGCGCCCAAAACAAGCCCCAGUAAGUUGGGGCUUGGCGCGGCGCGCCAGGGACGCGCCCGGAUCGAUGUUUUUCACCAAUUUUCGUCGUUUAGCCUAUUUAAGUUAUUCUAAAGUGUCCUAACAAUUUCCAUUGAUUCUAACUACUCUAAAUAAUUUCUAAACACCUAGAAAUCAUCCAGAAACAUGAGUCAUAACCUUGAAUCCAUAAAUUCAAAUUCAAGGAAAAUCAAGAGCCAAGUCUAGGAAGUUCUUCGAGUCUUUUCAAUAAAGUCUUUUGCAAAUGCUUUUUACUAUGUUUUAAAACUUAAGUUUCAAGUUAAGCAAAGAGUAAAGAGUUGAGUUCAUUUCUAACAAAGCUAUUAAGGGAACUAAGUAUUCCCAAAGAGUUUAUAAAUGUUUUCACAUUUGAGCAAGAAAAGGGAACAUCGAUUCCAAGAGAGCUUUUAAGCUAAGUUUUGAGUAAUUAUCUCAAACCAAAGAAAGAAUUUGGUUUAAAACAUAUGAGCUAAGUAUAUUUUUUGGAGUAGUAUUGAGCACCGAUAUGGGGAUGCGAGUUCAUAUUAACUCAAGUCUUCAUACACCAUGUAGCCAUCAUGGGUAUUAAUGGGUCAUACUUUUUAGAUGAUCACAUACGUUAAGCUAGUGGAUCCACUAAGUUAAGCAUUUUAUAUGACGGCAAAGUAUAUGAUAGUUCUGGCAGCGUGGGCAAGACGUUGUAUCACCACUUAGGCUCAUAGUAGUGGUUGUCGGUUAGAGAAUCUCCUACAAAAACUAUAUUAUUUUAGUAUAUGAGUAAAGUUGAGUUUGUUACUGCAUUUCCUUUAACGAACUAAGUUUCUGUUACUGUAUAUAAAGCUUUUCAUAUAUUGCAUGUGUCCAUUGCUUUAUUUUGAGUUAAGUUAUCCAGGAGUUGAGAAGAGCCAAGGUAAGUGUUUCUUUCAGAAUCUUUUCAAGCCUAUGUUUUUUAGCAUUCCAACUCGCAUACUCGUACAUUCAAUGUACUGAUACCAGUUGGCCUGCAUCUUAUUAUGAUGUAGACGCAGGUAACCAGGAUCAACAUCCAGCGCCUCGUUGAUCCAGCUUGAGCAUUCAAAGUCUGGUGGUGAGCCUCUUUGCAUACCGAAUGACUCUUUUAUUCGCUUUUUAGUUUAGUUCAUUAGGAUGUUGUGGGGAUUGUCCCAACAUCCAUCUCAGUUGUUUAGAGGCUUCAUAGACAGUUAGUAGUCAGAUGUCUUUACAUUAUCAUUUCAUAUGUUGAGACUUGAGUUGCCAUUUUGGCCAAAUUGAAUGUUGACUAUUCAACCUUCUGAGUUAUUUCACGAAAAUUAUUCGAGUAAGUUCACUUUGAUCAUAGUAAGCAUGUUUAGAGUCUUCCGCUGAGUCAGUAAGCCAGGCUAAGGGUUCGCUUGAGGCUAGCAAUAGUCUUCAAGUUACAGUCCCGCCCAGGGUGUAGGCUCGGGACGUGACAAACUUGGUAUCAGAGCCCAGAGUUCAAGAGUCCUAGGGAGUCUAUGAAGUCGUGUCUGUAGAGUCCUAGUUAUCGGUGUGAAGCGUGCCACAUCUAUAAUUAGGAGGCUGCAACAUUUAGGAAUUCUUUCACUUCUUUCAUACUUUUUUCAUGCGUUAGAGUUUGAUCUCUAAAAAGUUUCUUCUAAUUCGUGCUUGAGCGUGUUUUCAGAUAAUCAUGCCUCGACGAAGAGCUGUCAGAGGUCGUCCUGCGAGACGCAAUAUUGAGGAACAAGAGUUACCCAAUGCACCUGAAGUGCAACCUCAAGGAGAAGUCACCAAUGCUGAGUUCUGUAAGGCUAUCCGGAUGUUGAGCCAAGCUGUGACUAACCAGGUUGGGUAGCAAAGAGGGGCUCGAAAAGAAGAGGCUGACACUUCAAGGAUUCGUGAGUUCUUGAGGAUGAAUCCUCCAAGUUUCACUGGUUCAAGCACUACUGAGGAUCCAGAGAACUUCAUUGAGGAACUGAAAAAGGUAUUCGAUGUGAUGCAUGUUGCUGAUACUGGGAGAGUUGAACUAGCUGCAUAUUAACUGAAGAAUGUUGCUAGGACCUGGUUUGAUCAGUGGAAAGGGGGUAGAGCUAAUGAUGCACCACCUGCGAGUUGGGCCUGUUUUAAGGAAGCUUUCUUGGGGCGUUUCUUUCCCCGAGAACUGAAAGAGGCCAAGGUACGUGAGUUCCUCACACUUAAACAGGAUUCUCUGAGUGUUCAUAAAUAUGGGUUGAAGUUCACCCAACUAUCCCGUUAUGCUCUGGAGAUGGUUAAGGACAUGAGAAGUAGAAUGAGCUUGUUCGUUCCUGGGUUGGGCCUUCUAUCAAGCAAAGAGCGCCGGGCAGCAAUGCUUAUUAGGGAUAUGGACAUUUCGAGGUUGAUGGUUUAUGUGCAACAGGUUGAGGAAGAGAAGCUAAGGGACAGGGAAUAGUUCAGAAGUAAGAAAGAGAAGACAGGGAAUGAGUCUGGGCAGCAGAAAGGUAAUGUGAACCAUUCGUCCUUUUAGCAAAAGCAAAAGGGACCUGCUCCAUCAUCUGCUAGUGCACCUGCACCCCGAAACAAAUGUGAGUAUAAUGGCCACAACUCGCAGAACUUCAGAGCUAGAUCUGCACAGUCUCAAGGUAGUGUGGCGCAAGGAGGUAACUGGGCUCCUGCAUGUGCUAAGGGUGGUAGGAUCCACCCAGGUAAGUGUCGUGAUGGCCAGACAGGUUGUUUCAAGUGUGGGCAAGAGGGUUACUUCUUGAAAGAGUGCCCUAAGAACAGGCAAGGUAGUGGAAAUCAGGGCAAUAGGGCCCAAUCUUCAUUAGUUGCUCCACCAGACAGGGCUGCACCUAGAGGAGCUACUUCUGGCACUGGCGGAGGAGCAAACCGCCUCUAUGCAAUCACUAGUCGCUUAGAGCAAGAGAACUCUCCAGAUGUUGUCACUGGUAUGAUCAAAGUCUUUACUUUUGAUGUUUAUGCUUUGCUAGACCCAGGAGCAAGUUUAUCUUUUGUAACCCCUUAUGUUGCAAAUAAGUUUGAUGUUCUUCCUGAGAAACUUUGUGAACCCUUUUGUGUGUCUACACCUGUUGGGGAGUCUAUUCUAGCUGAGCGAGUUUAUCGUGAUUGUGUCAUUUCCAUUAAUCACAAAGACACCAUGGCUGAUUUAAUUGAAUUAGAAAUGGCAAAUUUUGAUGUCAUUCUAGGUAUGGACUGGCUUCAUGCCUAUUAUGCAUCAAUAGAUUAUAGGCUCGGGGAGUGACAACGGUUUUGAAAUUUCUAUAUUUUUUUAAUUUGUUAGAUAUUUAAAAAUUACGUAAGAAAAUUUUAAAUCAUAAUAAUUAGCAACUUAAAAUAUUUAAAAUUCAUGUAUUCUUUAGAAUCUAUUAUAUAUUUUUAAAAAUGAGUAAACUGUACUAUAAGUCACAAUAAUUAGCAACUUAAAAUUUUUAAAAACAUAUAAAAAAUUUAAAUGGUUCUCAAAAUUCUAUCAGUGUCAUUAGUUAAAAAUGUAUGUGCAUUGAGUUUUAUACCAAAGAAAAGAUUACUUGAUAUUGUAGCCAAAAAACAAAAAAAAUUAAACGAUUACUAAAGUUGUACAUUGAUCUCAAAUUCUGGGCGAAGUACAUCAGUACCUAUUUUUAAAGUCGUCAUUUAACUAAUAUUUGUUGUCUAUAUAUUUGUAUAUAGGUUUAUUUGUGUUUGAAAAUAAUUUAGGUAUACAUAAUCGAGGUUGAAAAUCCACAUCUGAAGUACGUGUAAAUAUUGCUCGAAAUUGGGGAGGGGGUGAGGUGGGGUGGGGGUGACAAUUGCCUUCUUUUCCUCUAAAUUAAGCUCAAACUUGAAACAUAAGUUUUAUGUACCAUAAAACACAAAACACAAACCUUAAUCAUCAAUUUCUCAAAAUUAUAAUAAAUCUAACAAAUUCAUUUAGUAUUUUUUUUUAAUGUAUGCCUAUCGUGUGCGCUCAAUCAUAAAUAUAUGUUAAAAAUAACAAAAAAAAUUUAGAUGUAUACGUCUGAAAUGUAAAAAUAAAAACAGAAAAAAUAAACUAGAAAUAACAUAUGUUUUGGUCUAGAAGUUAUCUAUUACUGAAUCACACCCACAUAGAAAAAAAAACACACACAAAAAAUUCAAUUUAAUAAAGCAGACAAAAUAGAAUAUCCAUGACUCUUGAUGUUCAACUAUUUUUUCCAAUGUACUGGGGAUAUCAUAAACAUAAAUAAGCUAAAAAGGAAACAUAAGAAAAUAGAGAAAUUAUUUUAGAUCUUUUGUUGGACUUUGCUACUUUCUGUCCUAUCUAUUUAGAUUUGGUCUUAUAAAUAUUAUUAUUAGUUUAUAUAUCCCUUAUAACAUAUUUGUGAGGUAUAAUAUAAUGUUUUUUUGUUAAAUAGAACACAUAACAUCAUUUUAGAAUAUUUUUUCUAGUUAAAUUGUCAGGCAAUACAAAGUCAUUUUCUCAUAAUGUCUUGACGUAGACUUUAAUUUUCCUUGUUAUACAUGCCAACAGGGCAAAGCUAGAAGUUCUGCCCUGGCAGCGUGAGGCAAAACGUUGUAUCAUCACAAUAGCUCUUAAGUGAUGAUUGUCGGUUAGAAAAACUCCCACAUAAAUAUUUUGUAUUAUUAUAUACACAGAGUUACUUGUAUUUUUACAUACAUCCAGAGUUUAUAUUGUAUAUUUGCAUACAUACAGGUUACUAUUGUAUUUCUAUAUACACAAAGUUGAUAUCCAUGUUUUAAAGCUUUCUUUAUAAUGCACUUAUUUAUACUGCUUUAUAUUGAAAUGAGUUCAGUUCAGUUCAGUUCAGUUGAGACCAGGUUUGUUCUUUUAGUUCCUUUCAAGCUUAUGUCUUGUUUUAGUAUUCCCCUUGCAUGCUCAUACAUUCAAUGUACUGAUGCCAAUUGGCCUGCAUCUUUUUAUGAUGCAGAUACAGGUAACCAGGGUCGGCAUCCAGCGCUUCGUUGAUCCCGUUGAGCAUUCAGAGUCUUGUGGUGAGCCUCCUUGCUUUCCGGAGAAUCCCUAUUUACAUUGCUUUAGUAAUUUUCAGUUGCUAGGAUGAUCGGGGGUCUUGUCCCGACAUCCCUCUUAGUUUUAGAGGCUUUAUAGACAGUCGGUUAGUUCAUUUGUCUUUACCUUGUUAUUUGCUUAUGUUUUGAGACUUGAAUUGCCAUUUUGGCUAGUUGAAUGUUUCUUUAAAGACAUUCUAAGUUUAUUUCAUGAGUUCAUUUUUUGAGACUAUUUUCUUGUUAUUUAAGUCUUCCGCUGAGUAGUAAGUCAUGCCAAAGAUUCGCUUGGGGCCAACAAUGGUUCUCGAGUGCCAGUCCCGCCUAGGAUGUAGGCUCGAGGCGUGACAAUUUCACUCGUAAAAUCACUGAAUAAUUUGUAAUUUGAAUUGAUUAAGAAGUCUAACCGUAUUCUCUUAUUAUAUAAGAGGGAGUUUGCACAAAGCCAGCUCCUCCCCGUCUGCAUGCCUGCUUGGCAUAGGGGUAGUUUUGGUAUUUUAUAAUUAUUUUUCUACUAAUUUAUUGUACUUUGUGCUAUUGAGCAUGUACUUUUUCCAAAUAAGACAAAACAGCCAACUACUAUUUUGUUCCCUAUACACUUUAUCUUGAGAGUAUGGGACCUACUUCGUUAAAUUUUAAAGAGGCAGCUGGCAUGCAAACCGGAAGAUCUGAAGUAAUUUAUAUUUAUAUUAGCACUAACGAAUUAUUAUAUGCAAAAAUCUUAAUAAUAGGAUAAAUUUUAUCCACAGUAAUAAAAUAAAAUUAAAAAAGCCCCCAAAAGUGAGAAAAAAUCAGUUUAUCACGAAAAUUUCCACAGUGUUAUUGGAAGCUUAAUAAAGAAAUAUUCUUCAAAAGUAUUUAUUAUAAAAACAAUAAAUGAAAUGUAAAAGACUAGCAUAAUGAAAUAUUUUAAAGUGCAACCAAUACUUAAAUUAUUCUAUUUUUAAAGAAUGAGUAAUAUAUGAUAUACUUAAAUAAUAUUUAAAAUUAGACAAAUAAAUUAAAAUAAAGAAAAUAUUUUUAUACUCAUAAAAUUUUAAAAACUUAAAUUAAAAUGCAUUUUUUAUUAAUGCCUCAAAAUAACUAAGUUCAUACUUAAGGGACAACUUGGUUAAAAGACAAACUAUAAAUAGAAAUUCUAAUUUAAAAAUUAGUGUUGCUAAUUAGUAAUGCAACAAUACAAAAAAAAUCACAUAACUUACAUAAUUUAUGAGAAAAAUAACCAAAUGUUAUAUGAAUUAACAAUGAUUUUCAUAUAUGUUGAUUAAGUUUUAAGUGAAGAAAAUAAUAUAUAUAGAUGAUUUACUACUAUCACAAAUAUUUAUAAUUUAUUUUAAAUAAAAAAAUUAAAAUUAUUUAAUCAAAAUUACUUUAGAAUUACAAAAAGUUAAUAAUAUUUAUCAAAUAUUCAUUUUACAGUAGUAUGAACGUUUACUGCCCUAUAAAUACAUAAAACUUAUUCAAAGUUGAUCAAUAUUGUAGGUUAAAAAUUAAUUUAUGAAUAAACAUUGACUGCACGGGCUCUUCGUCACUAGUGUAUAACAAAAAAAAAAGUUUCUACCAAAAAGAAAAAUAUAACAAAAAAGUUGUAUUCAACCACCUUUGAUAAUAGUGUAAAUGAAGAGUUGCACACAUAAGGUGGGGGGACCUUGAGGGGAUUUUAAUUUCAAGAAAAAGAAGGCAAUUGAUACCACCAUAACUUACAACCACCCCGACUGCAAAUGCAACACCUGGAUAAUAUACAAUUAAAUUUCGUUAAUUAUAAUGAUGACAUUUGUCUGAAUAUUUUGUGGCUGUUAUAAUAAUAGAUUAUUAUAUAUUUAUACUAAUAUUUGAUGUUUAGAUAUCAUUUAGAUAUUAUACGUGAGAAUAAAUGACAUGUGUAAUUUUUCAUGGUAAAAUUAUGACAAUAUAUAAUGAGCACCAUUUAAAUAUAAUUUUCUUUAGAUAUUCGUAUUUAAAAUUUACUAUAUAUGUGUGUGACAUUAAUGAUGAUCACCAUAGAUAUUUUAGUAUUUUAUUUUUAUAUAUAAUAUAUUUCUUACAAAAUAUUUAAAUAUGACGGUAUAAAAGAGUAAUUUUAUAAAGAGUGUACUUAUACUAUAAUGAAAGUCACUCUUGUUAUAAGUAUAAUGAAGUUGUAGAGAAGUAAAAUAUAACACGAAAAAUCGAUUCUAAAGAAAAUCAUACCGUUAUAAUAAAAUAUUGUUAUAACAAAUGAUCAUUAUAAUUAACGAGGUUUGACUGUAUAUCCUCGAAAUUUCAUUUUAAUUUAUUUCAUCCGAAAUUAAGUUUUUUUUUCUUUUCAAUACAUCUUCGGAGGUACAUAAGGGCCUUUGGGUCUAUAUGUUUGUUAAAAAGAAGAUAUCAGAACUACUUAAAAAAGGAAAAGAGGAAAUAAAAACAUUCCAAAAUUAUCUAUAUAGCAAUAAUGAUUUUCUGAUGUUCUUGAAUUCCUCAAGGUAUGUAUUUACAUCGAGAGGUUUAUGAAUAAGAGAGUUGAGACCAUGCUUCAAUUAUAUAUAUGGUCCCCAUAAAGGAAGAAAAUUCAUUCAAUUUUAUUUUAUAUCACAUUAAAACCAUAUUUGAUUUUUUGGUUAAUAUGGGAGUGCAUCCAUACUUUCUGUUUUUCAAUGUUUUGGAUUGUUAUAAAAAAAAUUAAAACAAGAACGGGGCAGAGCCAGGUAGUAUCGAGGGGUUCAUUCGAACUCCUUUUGACAAAAAAAUACAUUAUAUAUAUAUAUAUAUAUAUAUAUAUAUGUUGAACCUCAUUUAGCUUCUUCGUGUGUUUUCUUCUCAUACUUUGAUCCCCUUAGUGAAAAUCCUGAUCCGCCACGGAAUAAGAGGAAAGUUGAAGAGUAGAGCAUCUAACCUUGAAUUUGAUAACUAUAUAUUCCCAAUUCCUUCUGGCUAAAGUCGAAUAUCUUUUAGAAAAAUGGUGCUACUACUUCACCAAAUCUAUUUAGAGCAAAACGUUUCUUAUUUAUGGAGUUACUAAAUUCAGUAAGAUUUUGGUUACGUACUCAUAUUAGUAUGAAUUAUGAAGUAAUUAAUCAAAACUUGUUAAAUCAUAUUCAGUACUGCUUUUAAAUAAUAUAUUGAUACACCAUACUGAAGAAAAACCAAUUUUCUUUUAUUGUAUUUACUUUCAUGGUCAAAACUCAAAAGGUUCAUAAAAUAUGUACAUAUAGUUCAUGACCAUUGUAAUAUUAAUUUCUUUGUGAACUUCAAAUGAAAUAAUACAAGGAUUAACAAGAGAAUAACAAUAGAAAACAAAUUUCAAUUACAACCCUUCAACAUAAAUAUAUUUCUAAAUGGUCAAUGUUUGGCCUACAAAAAUACAAGAUUUUAGGCCAUGCAUGCUAUAUAAUCUUUAGUAUCUAAGCAUUGACUAAAACUAAAUCUAUAGAAAAAUGAGCCAUAAAUUAACGUAGUUGUUAUCUUAAUAAGAUCACAAAAAAAUCCAAUAUGCACUAACCUCUCACUGUAUACGAGAUUCAAGAAGAACAAGAUCAAUACAUAACGUACAUUUUCAUAAUUUGAUCGAAUUUGUGACUUCCUGAUCAUACUGCAACUCUUAUGAUUACGCUAACGCUCGUUUUCGAUCUUUACACGAUAGCAGUACCAAAUUGACUAAUAAAAAAUAGAUCUAGUAGUUGGAAGAUUAAUGAUCACACACAAGGAAGUUAGGACACGAAAAAGAAAAACCUACAGCUAAUAGAGCGUUGCUUCAUUUAAUCCUCUCAUCUGCCCUCCAUUCAUUACACUUUCCCUCUUUUACUCUUUAAAUUUCCAUUUUCUUCUCUUAGCUCUAUUCAUCCUUCCCUUCACUUGUAAUAUUUUUCACUCAAAAAUGCCUGAAGUUGUCCCAAAUUUCUCUAAUUCAGUAAAGUUGAAAUAUGUUAAACUUGGUUAUCAAUAUCUUGUUAAUCAUAUUUUAACAUUUUUGCUUGUGCCUAUUAUAAUUGGUGUUACUAUAGAGGUAUUAAGAAUUGGCCCUCAAGAGUUGCUAAACAUAUGGAAUUCACUACACUUUGAUGUUCUACAAAUGUUGUGCUCUUCUUUUCUCAUCAUCUCUAUAGCCACUGUUUACUUCAUGUCGAAACCACGAUCAACUUACCUAGUAGAUUAUUCAUGUUAUAAGCCUCCGGUUGUUUGUCGUGUACCAUUUUCAACUUUCAUGGAGCAUUCCAGGCUUAUUUUGAAGGAUAAUCCCAAGAGUGUGGAGUUCCAAAUGCGCAUUCUUGAAAGGUAUGGUUACAUGAUUAAUUUGUACUAUUCAGGGGUCGUUUGGUAUGGGGAUGAGAUAAGCAAGUGUAUUCAAUGUGCGUCAAGCACAUCUAUGAUUUUGAAGUAAUAACUAGUAAAGGAGUUGGUAGACACCUUCUAUAAUAUGGGAUAGUAAUCACACCUUUUUAGUACAAAUGUUACGAUAAAAUAAUCCUGAGAUUUGUUAGUACGAUCAAAUCAAACAUGGUAUAAAGUUUUUCUUGAAUUUUGUUCCAGAAUUAUUAUCCUUAUCCCACGUACCAAACGAUCCCUAGUUUUUACAUUAUCUGAAAUAUUAUAUCUUUGCAUAUUAUAGUAUUUUCAAGAUUUCAAUUAUUCCAACAUUUUAAAGUGAUUUACCUCUAAAUAUCAUUUGAAUGGCUCGAUGGAUAAAGCAUUUACAUAAACACUUUAUAAAGUGAGAUUAUCCCACAUUUCAAGAAAAACACGAGUUUGAAAGCUUUUGUAUGUUAAAAGGUUUUAUUUAAAACUAGAAUUUCGAUAUAAAUGUAAAUUUAAGUUUUGAAUUUAAAGGAACAUGUUUGUUUAUGAAAUAAGAUGUAUUUUGAUCGAGCUAUCCUAUUGAGAAGGGGUUCAAUUGAAUUCCUUCCGUUCAAAAUUAUGUUGCAUAAAUAUGGUAAAAUUAAUUUUUUGUGUGUUUAGACAAGUGAAAAUGUGCAUAUUUUAAAUCUCCUUUCUAAAAUUUCUAGCUCCGACAGCUCUACAACCAUGCCUUCUUUGGGAAACGACUAGAGAUAUUUUGCAUUAUCCAAUUGUUUUGUUGUACACCGUUUGAGCUCCUAGCUCCGCCUCUGCCUCAAGUAUCUCUUCAAGAAAACUUGUUAUGGCGAGUCAUUCUUACUUUAUGUUGUGCUAUAUUAUUUCUCACAGGUCGGGGCUCGGAGAAGAAACUUGCUUGCCUCGUCCCAUCCAUUACAUCCCUCCAACGCCAACUAUGGAAGCUGCGAGAGGUGAAGCAGAGGAAGUCAUAUUCACAACAAUUGAUGACUUAAUGAACAAAACAGGGCUCAAACCAAAAGACAUUGACAUUCUCAUUGUCAAUUGCAGCUUGUUUUCUCCAACUCCGUCUUUGUCAGCUAUGGUAGUCAACAAAUACAAAUUAAGAAGCAACAUAAAAAGUUACAAUCUCUCUGGUAUGGGAUGCAGUGCUGGUUUAAUCUCGAUUGAUUUAGCUCGAGACCUUCUUCAAGUUCAUCCGAAUUCAUAUGCUUUAGUUAUUAGCACUGAGAUAAUAACUCCCAAUUAUUACAAAGGUUCGGAAAGAGCAAUGCUCCUCCCGAAUUGUUUGUUCCGAAUGGGAGGUGCAGCCAUACUGUUAUCCAACAAAAGACGCGAUAGAUACAGAGCCAAGUACAGAUUAAUGCACGUGGUCCGCACCCAUAAGGGUGCAGACGACAAAGCAUUUAAAUGUGUAUUUGAACAAGAAGAUCCACAAGGGAAAGUUGGUGUUAAUCUUUCAAAAGACCUUAUGGUUAUAGCAGGGGAAGCUUUAAAAUCGAACAUUACUACGAUUGGUCCUCUUGUUCUUCCUGCCUCAGAGCAACUACUCUUUCAACUAACACUUAUUGGACGGAAGAUUUUUAAUCCGAAAUGGAAGCCUUAUAUCCCGGAUUUCAAACAAGCGUUUGAACAUUUCUGUAUCCACGCGGGUGGUAGAGCUGUUAUCGAUGAGCUUCAGAAGAAUUUACAAUUGUCUGGUGAACAUGUAGAGGCAUCAAGAAUGACACUACAUAGAUUUGGUAACACAUCUUCAUCAUCAUUGUGGUAUGAGAUGAGUUAUAUUGAGGCAAAAGGAAGGAUGAAGAGAGGUGAUAGAGUAUGGCAAAUAGCAUUUGGGAGUGGAUUUAAGUGUAAUAGUGCAGUUUGGAAGUGUAACAGGACAAUCAAGACACCAACUGAUGGACCAUGGCAACAUUGUAUUGACAAGUAUCCAGUUCAUAUUCCAGACAUUGUUAAGCUGUAAAAUAUAUUACUCUCUCUCUCUUUCUUUAUUUACACGCCCUUUAAAGAAACAUUAAUUAGGAGGAGUUGUGUGUGUCAUAAUUGAAAACUUCCACAACAUUUACUAUGAAAGGAUAAAUUAGGAAUACAUAAUUUCUUUGUUUUGAACUUCUAUACCAAAUAUUUUUAACAAGGAUGACAAUUGACAAGGAGAGAGUAUGAGGUUGUUGCUCAAUAUUAGUAUUAGCAUUGGUCUCUCUCAUUUGGUUGAGAACAAGUUAUUCUGAAAUUAAUUAUUUGGGAUUAAUUAUCUCAGAAUUGUUAGUUCAUCCUUAACGUGGAAUAAAAAUAACAUUACAAUUUCGAAAUAAGUUAUUUUCCCAUUUUAUCCCAACCAAAAAUAAAAUAAACUUGACUUAUAAUUAAUCUAGAAAUUAGUUGUCAAAACUACGGGUUCAUUGAAUUCCUUACACUAAGGCUAUAUUCGCCACAUAUAUAAUAGUGAUCUCUUGAUUACUUCUUUAAGUGUCGAGAACACUUAGAAAAAAAUUAAGCGUAACAAAUAAUUGAUUACUUCUUUAAAUGUCGAUAGUACUUAGAGAAAAAAUCAGCGUAACAAACGAAGGAAUGUGAAGAUAAAGUUAUAAAAACGUACACAAGAUUAAUAAUUGCCUUGAUUUGAACCAGUGCUAUAAAUUAAAGUAAAAGAUAUUUAUGUCAUUUUUUUUCUUUUUUAGGUGUUCUAUAUUGAUAUUUAUUGAUCCAAUUAAUUUAUAGGUGGUUCACGUUAGAGGGCAAAUUGUAAACUUUUAGCUGCAAACACAUGUUUCAUUUGGUGAGCAAGGACCACUAGUUCAACUCAAUUAAUUAUUGCUACUACUAAUUAACCAAGUAGCCAUAUGGAGUAUAUUGUAGUACUGCUUGGAGACAUUUAUUAAUGAAGCUAGAGUCUUGAAAGUUCACAAUCUCUAAUUUUUAGUCCAUGUGUCCUAUUUUGCUUGCUUUGUUUACUUAAUAUCUUAUUGAUAUAUAUAUAUAUAUAUAUUAGAAAAAGAAGAGCUGUUUUCGACAAAUGAUAUCGAGCUAAUAAAAAUAUGUAUAAACAAUAUAUCAAUUCUAUGGAAAAUGAAUCAUGCAUAAAUAAUAAGAGGUGUCGUGGGGAUAUGAUUGGUUGAUGACAUAAUAUUGAUUGAUGAGACACAUAAUAAAAUUAAUAAUAGGCUGAAAGUUUGGACACAGGCCCUAGAUUAAUGUAAAGGUUUUUGCUUUAGUUGAAGUAAGAUAUAAUACUCCAACUUAUUAUUAAGAACUAAUUGUUUUUAAUUCAUUUUUCAAUAUUUAAAUGACUUAUAAUAAUUAAUGAUAUUAUAAGAAAAUUAUUAUUAUUAUUAUUACUAUUUUGGCAAGGGAUAUGUCAUGGUUGUACCGAUUUCAUAUCUCAAUUCUCAAGUAAACUUAAUUGAACACAUGGAAAAAAGUUCAACUUACCAUUAUUGGAUGUUUAAGCUCAAUUUGUCUAUUUUACUAAGAAAAAGAAUUUAUAGUUUUAUACCUAUGUAUCUUUUUUGUUUAUUUUGGAAUUGGUUAGAUGGAUUGCUGGACUGGGUAUUGGACAUCACAUCUGUCUGCUUUGGGCUUAACAUUGAAGAGAAUAUCUACUAAGAUGAGUGGACACAAAACUAGCAAAUCGAUUGGGACACAAUCUCUAUAUAUAUUAGGUACAUGGUUUCUUCAAAUCACAUAUUACUAUAAUAGCUGUUGAAGUCUUAACUAGAAUGUUAAAUAGUCUAUAUGAAAAUCCUAGGUUCAUUAGCUUUCACAUGCAACCAAAUGGACCUAGGAUUAAUCAUAUGUCUUAUGCUGAUGACAUCAUUAUUUUAUGUGCAGGUAAAUUAUAUAUUCUACAUUUAGUGAUGAAUGUUCUCAAUAGAUAUGAACAAAGGUACAUAUAGAGUUGUUAAAACGGAUCAACCCAACCUUAUCCAGCCUAAGUUUUGCGGGCCAAGAAAUUUGAUGGCACAGGUGGAUUGGCCCUUCAUUUGAAAGGGAUUGGAAACAGUUGAUCCUAGAAGGGUCGCGGGCUGGAACGGGCUAGCCCUUCUUUCUUUUCUUCUUCUUUUCAAACUUAAAAUUCUAUCAAUAUACUGUAUUUGUAACAUAUCUAACAAAAUGAUGUGAAGGUACAUAAUAAUUACAAUUAUAACAUACAUUUUAUACGUGCUUUCAAUUACAAUCUCAUAUCUUAAAUAUAUAUAAUAUCAAGAAAAUGAGAAGAUUUUCAAAUCAAAUGUAACAAAUAAUGAUGUUGUUACAAUAAUUCUAGCAACAAAUGUUAAAGAAAAAAAAUAUUUUCUGACAUAAAUAAGUAAAGAAAAUUUUAAAAAACAAACUUAUAAAUUAAAGAACAAUUACAUUGUAUAACUUUAUUUAUUUUAAUUCAAAUUUGGACCGUAGUUAUAAGCCCUAGUUUUAAGUGAAUUUGAAAUUUUAAUCCCAAUUUUAUCUCACUAACGAAUUGAAUUAGGUUAACUCCAUAAACUAAGCUCAUUUUGACGGCUCUAGAGAUAUAGCAAUCUAGUAGACUUUAGUAACAAAAGCUAUAUUCUUUCAUGAUCAUUAACAUCCCAUAUGACUCCCCAAAACAAGACGCGACAAUUUCUCCUUCAAUUAUUUUUUAUAUCGUUAGAUUGCCUUUUUUGAUUUGAGGGUCCAUCGAAAAAAAUUCUACAUUUGAAAGAUGAGAGUUCAAAUAGUGUUGUAUUGUUACGGUGAAAUUCCUGAUUGGUAUGGUGAACUUGUGGUGGUGUAACCGAGGAGGGUGAAAAAGAGAGAAUUUGUUUUUGAGGUGUGUAUACCUGUGUAUAUUAUUUGUAUAUCUAUGUAUAUAUUUCAUGUGUAUACAAGUAUUCCCUUGUAUAUUUGUGUAUUUCAAUUAAAAAAAAUAUUGACUAUUUCCGAAUGACGUUUUUCUGGUUGAUUUCAAUUCUGAAUUUUUUUCAAAGCAUUCCAAAUCACUACCAAUCUUUUUAGAUUUUGUAUACAACGUCGUUCAGUUUUUUCAACAAAUUUCAGCCACAUUCACUUAAAAAGUAAUUAAAAAGUGAGAUAAUAUCAUAAAAGUUAUAUGUUAUUAAAUAUUUUUGAGUUAUCGAUGCCAAUACAAAUUGUUAAUUAAGCGGCUCUAGGUGGAGUUUUAGGCAAAAAUCAUCCCUCAAGUAUAACCUAAACUUAGAGUACAUCCUUAUGAUAUAAUUGUGAACAAAAAACAUCCUUAACAUCCUUUCUGUUAACUACUGUUAAAAAACUAAUAGAAACAAAUACAUGUGCUAGGCACAUGACUUCCUCUAAAUCUCCAUAUACUGUAGAUUGAUUUCUUCAUCUUCAUGAACAAUAACACACAAGAAGUUGGAACUCUUCUUUCAUGCUUUUGUGUAGAAAAAUGAUCUGCUCCAAUUGUCCCACUUUCAGUCUAACCUUCAGCAAAGCUUUGCUAACCGAGGGUUGUAAUUGAAUGCUCAUAUAACUGAUCAUUGCACUCAAAUUUUUGAAAGAAACUAAUAGCACUCGAUAAUUUAGAAGAUGCACAGUCGUUCGCAAUUCAGGAGAGCUCUUGAGACACAAUUUGGAGAGAAAAUUAUUAAUGAUGAUGCAGUUAUAUGAGACAAUAAGACUAAUGUUAAUAAGAAGUACACCAAGCAUGUUGGCCUAAAGAGAGAUUUUUUCUUGGUUGUGCGAGGUGCCGCUAGAAAUUCGAUAAGGUGCUUAUUAUUAAAAGUGUCACCUAUAGAAACUUCAAUGCAAUGAUAAAGAAAAUUCGGAAUCUCUAUUCCUACGUGUUGUUUCUUGUUUUUCAACCUACAAAAUCUGAUGAUUUUGAAUGUGAAAAAGAUAUUUAGUUUGAGAAAUAACAAAAAUAGUACAAUAUUGGUAAAAUAUAUCAAAUCUUUUUCAAUGGCUAUUUCUUUUGCCCCAACUUCAAUUCUUAUGUUGAAAAAGAACUUGUAUGGUUGCUUUUAAGUUUAGAAGAACAAGAAGUUUUGUUUCUAGAAGACACAAGCCCUGUUGAAUAUAUAAAACGAUCAGAAUUCGGGAGGAAAUCAGUAGGAUAGUAUAUGGGAUUUGGGGAAGUCAUGUGCUUGGCACAUGUAAUUGUUUCUGUUAGUUUUUUAACAGUAGUUAACAGAAAGGAUGUUUAUGCAUGUUUUGAGAUAGUUAAAUGAUGUUUUUAUUCAUAAUUAUUUGUUCCCUUAGUUUGGGUUAUACUUGAGGGAUGAAUUUAGCCUAAAACUCGCUCUAGGUGUGUUGCAUCCUAUUCUGAAUCAGUCGAAAUAAUCGACAAAUUAAUGGCUCUUCUAUUUUAAGAAUUUAUUAGAAAACUUAUGCGUCUUGCAACUGCUUUAACUCUAUUAGUCAAGCAUCGAUAAUCUUUAAAAUUAAUCUAAGUGCACUUGAGGGAUUAUUACUUCGUUUUUACCUAUUUUAAAUGGAAGGCAAGAAAAAGAAUCAUAUAUAUAUAUAUACUAGUUAUUAGGUUCCCGCGCCAGCGCGGGCCCAAUGUAUAUUACUUCUUCCGUCUCAUUUUAUGUGAGGUAGUUUGAUUCGCCACGGAGUUUAAAAAAGAAAUGAAGACUUUUAAAAUUUGUGGUCCAAAAUGAAUGAUAUAAAUUUGUAUGACUGUAAAUUAUUUCAUUAAGGGUAAAAUAAAUAUUUUAUAAUCAAAUUGUUACUUAAUAUAGAAAUGUGACAUUCUUUUGGGACUGACUAAAAAGGAAAGUAAAUAACAUAAAUUGGGAGUAGUUCUUUGUUUCAAUUUAUGUGACACCGAUGAAAUUUGGAGAGUUAUAUAAUUUUUUGUAUGUGAUUUUGUUAAAUAUAUUUUGAAGUUGUUAAUUUAUUGUGAUUUAUAGCACUUCUUAUAUCAUUUUCAAAUAAUAUAUAUUACUCUUUCUGUUCCAUUUUAUGUGACGUAGGUACUUUUACGAAACUCAACUAAAUUUCUUAUAUGAUUCUUAAAUAUUUGUAGUUGUUAUUUUACUUUAAUUUACGUUACUUUUUAUGUUAUUUUCAAACAAACUUCUUAUGUUUCAAUAUGGAAUUAAAGAGUCAAUAAAAUUUCUUUUAUGAUUUUUAAUUAUGUUUUUUUAAUAUCUUAUAUUAUUACAUUGUGAUUUUAAGUACUUUUUAUGUAAUUUUUAAAUCUAGAACAAAUUAAAAGAAAAACAAGGAAAAAUUUAAAUGAAGAAAGUACUAAAAUUUUCAAAUAAUCAUAUUUCUAUAUUAAAAUGUUAAAAACUUUAAAACUCCACAUAUAUGCAGAAAAUCAUAUACGGAAGACAAAAUAAUUUUUAAAAUAUAUAUUAAAGCUCUUUCUAAUAAUAUCACAUAUUUAUUCUAUUUUUCAAAUAAUAUAUAUUUCUCACUCAAUCUCAAUUACGCAGUACAUAUGAAAUUUCGAGAGUUAAUCAAAUUCUUAGUACUAUUUUAAACUAUAUUUUAGUACUAUUUAUAUAAUUUUCAAAUAAUAUAUGUUACUACUCUAUUAUAUUAUGCAAUACAUGUGAAAUUUCAAGAAUUAACCAAAAUUUUAAUAUUUUAAAUUGAUUUUUAGUACUAUUUUUGUAGUAAAUAGAGGAAGUUGAAGAAGAAGGGCAAAUCGGUCAAUUGACUGACUAACCCUAAGCUCCUAAACAUUCUCACUUCUAAAUGGAAGCACGGGCACAAUAUCCGUUAAAUUGUUAAUUAUUAUGAUUUAUAAUAUUUUUUACAUUAUUUUCAAAUAAUAUAUGUUAUGUAUUUUUAAAUACUUUAAGUUGUGAUUAAUAAUAUUCUUAACGUAAUUUCAAAUAAUAUAUGUUACUCCAUUUGUCCCAAUUUAUGUGACACAUGUGAAAUUUUGAGAGUUAAUAUGUUUUUCAAAUAUUGUAAGUUGUUAACUAUUGUGGUUUAUGGUAUUCUUAAUGUAAUUUUUCAAAUAAUAUAUGUUAUUCCCUUCGUCUUAAUUAUACAAUUCGCGUAAAAUUUUGAGAGUUAAUCGAAUUUGUAAUAUUUUAAAUUUAUUUUUUAGUACUAUUUAAAAAGGAAAAAAUUAAAAUAUUACUAUAUAAGAAGAGUAGUAAUUAUAUAGUAAUUUUUCAAAUAAUAUAUGUUAUUCCCUUCGUCUUAAUUAUAGAAUUCGCGUAAAAUUUUGAGAGUUAAUCGAAUUUGUAAUAUUUUAAAUUUAUUUUUUAGUACUAUUUAAAAAGGAAAAAAUUAAAAUAUUACUAUAUAAGAAGAGUAGUAAUUAUAUAGUAAUUUUUCAAAUAAUAUAUGUUAUUCCCUUCGUCUUAAUUAUAGAAUUCGCGUAAAAUUUUGAGAGUUAAUCGAAUUUGUAAUAUUUUAAAUUUAUUUUUUAGUACUAUUUAAAAAGGAAAAAAUUAAAAUAUUACUAUAUAAGAAGAGUAGUAAUUAUAUAGUAAUUUUUCAAAUAAUAUAUGUUAUUCCCUUCGUCUUAAUUAUAGAAUUCGCGUAAAAUUUUGAGAGUUAAUCGAAUUUGUAAUAUUUUAAAUUUAUUUUUUAGUACUAUUUAAAAAGGAAAAAAUUAAAAUAUUACUAUAUAAGAAGAGUAGUAAUUAUAUAGUAAUUUUUCAAAUAAUAUAUGUUAUUCCCUUCGUCUUAAUUAUAGAAUUCGCGUAAAAUUUUGAGAGUUAAUCGAAUUUGUAAUAUUUUAAAUUUAUUUUUUAGUACUAUUUAAAAAGGAAAAAAUUAAAAUAUUACUAUAUAAGAAGAGUAGUAAUUAUAUAGUAAUUUUUCAAAUAAUAUAUGUUAUUCCCUUCGUCUUAAUUAUACAAUUCGCGUAAAAUUUUGAGAGUUAAUCGAAUUUGUAAUAUUUUAAAUUUAUUUUUUAGUACUAUUUAAAAAGGAAAAAAUUAAAAUAUUACUAUAUAAGAAGAGUAGUAAUUAUAUAGUAAUUUUUCAAAUAAUAUAUGUUAUUCCCUUCGUCUUAAUUAUACAAUUCGCGUAAAAUUUUGAGAGUUAAUCGAAUUUGUAAUAUUUUAAAUUUAUUUUUUAGUACUAUUUAAAAAGGAAAAAAUUAAAAUAUUACUAUAUAAGAAGAGUAGUAAUUAUAUAGUAAUUUUUCAAAUAAUAUAUGUUAUUCCCUUCGUCUUAAUUAUACAAUUCGCGUAAAAUUUUGAGAGUUAAUCGAAUUUGUAAUAUUUUAAAUUUAUUUUUUAGUACUAUUUAAAAAGGAAAAAAUUAAAAUAUUACUAUAUAAGAAGAGUAGUAAUUAUAUAGUAAUUUUUCAAAUAAUAUAUGUUAUUCCCUUCGUCUUAAUUAUACAAUUCGCGUAAAAUUUUGAGAGUUAAUCGAAUUUNNNNNNNNNNNNNNNNNNNNNNNNNNNNNNNNNNNNNNNNNNNNNNNNNNNNNNNNNNNNNNNNNNNNNNNNNNNNNNNNNNNNNNNNNNNNNNNNNNNNNNNNNNNNNNNNNNNNNNNNNNNNNNNNNNNNNNNNNNNNNNNNNNNNNNNNNNNNNNNNNNNNNNNNNNNNNNNNNNNNNNNNNNNNNNNNNNNNNNNNNNNNNNNNNNNNNNNNNNNNNNNNNNNNNNNNNNNNNNNNNNNNNNNNNNNNNNNNNNNNNNNNNNNNNNNNNNNNNNNNNNNNNNNNNNNNNNNNNNNNNNNNNNNNNNNNNNNNNNNNNNNNNNNNNNNNNNNNNNNNNNNNNNNNNNNNNNNNNNNNNNNNNNNNNNNNNNNNNNNNNNNNNNNNNNNNNNNNNNNNNNNNNNNNNNNNNNNNNNNNNNNNNNNNNNNNNNNNNNNNGAAAGUGAAAAAAAAAAUGUGUCAACUGGCUACAACAACUAUUCAAAGUAUAAAGGAGAUAUUAAAUCAAAGGUCAUCACUACAUGAAUGAGUUCUGACUACAUUUUUCUUUUCCUCAUUUUUUUUUUGCCAUUCUCCUAAUUUUUUAAAUCUGUUUUAAUUAUUAAAACAUAAAAAAAAUAAUCAAAAGUCAAUACUUAAAAUAUUUCUCUUCAAUAUACGUACGUUACUUAUUUUUUUUCAAUUAAUCAUUGUUAACUAUCACUUAUUGUAUUAAAGUCUCUUUAAUUUGUUAGUACUUAUCAUUUUAAUUUAAAAGUCUAAAUUUAACUAAAUAAUUUGUCAAUUAUUUAGGGAAAGACAAUUACUAUAGAAGACAAGGAAAGAUGAAAGAGUUUAGAUUUCAAAUAGGUGAUGAAUUUUUUUUUACAAAUUUUCUUUUUGAUUAUUUAAAAAUAGAGUGCAAUCUUUGACUAGCAACAAGAACUAGGGAACAAGAAAAUAAUAAAAUAAAAUAAAUAAAUAUAGGAAGGAUUGAAGGAACUAAUGGUCCGGAAAAACAAAAAAAUGAAGUAGGAUAAGAGGGUAAGAAAACGAGAUAAGAAGAAAAUGAUAAAAAAAAAUCGAGAGAAUAACUUUUUUUCCAAACUAGAGCUUAUUAUAAUUAAGGUAUGAACAAUUGAAGGGAUAUUAGAUACUGGGAAUAGGAAAAAAUGAAAAACAAAAAAAUUAAGAAACUAUAUUAAAUAUACAUUUCAUUUCUACUUAUUUCUACCUUUACUUUUCAUUUCAUGCUUACUUUAUUUUAUUAGAAAGAAAAAAAUUAAUAUAUAUUAUUGAUUUUGUAAGGAUAUGCAUGAAAAAAAAAUGUUAUUACCUCGAUUAUAUUUAAAUGAAUUUAUUUUUAAAUUUUUAAAUAAUUUUAUGACCGCGCGAAGUGCGGAAAUGUUGACUAGUAAUUUAAUAAAGUAAAUGAAAGAGGUGACAAAGUAUUUAAUCUAUAAAAUAUUAUUGGGUCUUGCUUUUGAAAACAAAUGAACUUGAGUCAAUACAUACACUUUAGAGAAAAAAUCUUUUUUGUAAAAUUAAUUUAAACUUUGUUUAUACUCUAAACAAUCUGCAUUUUGAAGUUCAAAAAACAUAGAGGUUGCAUUCUUGCCCAAAAAAUAUGCAUUUUUACACUACAAAUCUGCACCUUUUAAACUUUUUAAAGCAAUACUUUUACACUCAAAAAACUAAUCUGCACUUCUGAAGUAGUUAUAGCUGAAAGCAAUACGGUUUCGAAGCUGACAUUUUUUGGGCAUAACAUAUCAAAAGGGACCUUCCCCAAAAAUACAGAUCAAAAUGUACGCUUCGUCCAAAAAUUGGUGGACUCUCUUCCCACCGUUAACGUCCGUUUCUUCGAAUGUAAAAUUAAUAUAUAUAUAUAUAUUCAUAUAUUCAAUGAUUUCGCCCAAAGAUGGGGAACUACAUUUUUUUUUAUUAACUUUUUAUAUAAUUUCACGUGAAUAGAAUCUUCAUUUGCUGAUUAUUAUUUUUUUCAGAUCCUUAGCUUGAACGUAAGUUUUGUCAUGUCUAGUUUGAUACAAGGAAUCCUGAGUUUCUUAAAGAUUAAUAAUACAAAAAGAUAACUAUUGGGUACUUUUUUCAUGAAAAUGUAUUUACUAGUAUUUAUUUACUUACGAUCAAUAGUAAAAAACUUAUUGAGGCCGACAAGGACAAUGAUUUCUGUUAUGAUCGAAUUUUCCUAAACAAACUAUAUCUUUGUGUCAUGCAGCCUGAAGCACUGCCCAUUUUCAUUUUUGUGAUACCUAGUACCGUUAACUCCAAAAAUUCUUAGAUAUUGAGUAUUUAUAAUUAAAUUGAAUGGAGAAGAUAUAUAGACCAAUUAUAUGAGUCGUCGUCCAGUGAAAAAAGUGCUACAUCUUUAUAAAUUUGCUUGUAAUCCUUUGAACUGUAAUACUUGCUGAUAAGGUAGGUCUUUAGCUCAAUAAACACAUAUCACAAAAUUUUAUGGCACGCGGACAUAUAAAUAGAGAUGACAAGAUCGUUGAAUUUUUUAGAAGUCAUGUAUGAAAACAUAUUGAAAUUGUAAUUGAACAGAGGAAAAAUUGAGAAGAAGAUGGAAAAGUAUAUUUACAAUGUCUAUCAAUUACAGUAUUUAUAGACUCCUGUAAUCAUCUAGGAGUCUCUAGAAACCUCUAACCGACUCAGCUCUAUCACGUUUAACUAAGUAACAAACUACAACUAACACAAUGAAAUGGUAACAAACUAACUAACUCAAUGUAAAAGUGAAACAGUAAAAACAGAAUUGUGCACUGAUGUUGCAUUGCAGUCACUAACUAACUUAUGCAACUAUAUAUUAUUUCAACACUCCCCCUCAAGCUGUGGAGCGAGAACAUUAAGAACACCAAGCUUGCUUAACAGAUGCAAGUGUUGGUCUUGACCCAAGCCCUUAGUCAAUAUAUCUGCCACCUGAUGUUGAGUAGGCACAUACAUAGGUUUCACUGUCCCAGCUUUCACUUUGUCUCUUAUAAAAUGACAAUCGAUCUCUAUGUGCUUAGUACGCUCAUGAAAUAUGGGAUUGACUGCUAGUUGAAUAGCAGACUUGCUAUCACUCAAAACUGUGAUUGGCUUAUGAAUGGGAGCAUUUAGCUUUGCAAACAACCCUUCCAGCCAAGUAAUUUCUGCUACAGCUGAUGCCAUACUCCUAUAUUCUGCCUCAGCCGAACUCCUAGAUACAGUAUGUUGUUUUUUUUAUUUCCAGGAAACCAGUGAUUCUCCAAACUUCACUACAUACCCUGUGACAGACCUUCUUGUGUUGGGGCAUGCAGCCCAAUCAGAAUCACACCAACAUAUUAACUCUGCAGCUGUUUGAGCUUUCAACCAAAUACCUUGCCCUACAGUACCCUUUAAGUAUCUGAUCACUCUGUUUGCAGCUUCCAGGUGAGAUUUCUUGGGUUGUUGCAUGAAUUGGCUCAAUGUAUGUACAACAUAACUAAUGUCAGGUCUAGUUAUGGUUGCAUAUAGCAAUUUCCCAACCAACCUCUGAUAGCCAGUAAUGUCCCUUAACAUAGCAUCUCCAAUGACUCCAUUAGCAUUGUCAUAUUCCACUGAGGUCAGCUUAGAAUUAGAUUCCAAGGGUGUACAUGAUGGCCUUGCUCCUGCAAGACCUGUUUCAGAAAUAAGCUCAAGAAUAUACUUUUUCUGAUUCAAUAUAACUCCUUGUGUUGAUCUUAGUACUUCAAUCCCUAAAAAAUAUUUAAGUUCUCCAAAAUCCUUGAGUUUAAAUUGCUGAUGCAACACAUCAUUUGCUUCUUUGAUCAUAGACUCAUUAUCUCCAGUAAUAAGGAGGUCAUCAACAUAUACCAAGACUAUAACCAUCCCUUCAUUCUUUUUCCAAGUGAAUAAAAAAUAGUCAUGAUUACUCUGAAUGAACCCUGCCUUUAAUAAUGUUGUGGUAAGUUUGAUAUUCCAUUGUCUUGAGGCUUGUUUAAGUCCAUACAAUGACUUAAGUAAUCUACAAACUUUGUGUUGUUCAUUCUGCUUGAAACCCUGUGGCAUCUCCAUAUACACUUCUUCAUCUAAAUCCCCUUGCAAAAAUGCAUUGUAUACAUCCAUCUGAUACAAAUACCAACCUUUAGAAACAGCCAAGGCAAUGACACACCUAACAGUCACCAUUUUUGCAACAGGUGAAAAAGUGUCAUGAUAGUCCAACCCUUCUUGUUGACUAUAUCCUUUUGUCACUAAUCUAGCUUUGAAUCUCUCUAAAUCUCCAUUUGUUUUAUACUUAAUCUUAUAUACCCAUUUUGAACCAAUUACAUUCUUCCCAGGAGGCAAAUCAACUAUCUCCCAAGUGUGAUUGUCUUCAAGAGCUUGUACCUCUAACUUCAUAGCCUGAAUCCAUCUUUCAUCUUUAAUAGCCUGACCAAAGUUUUGUGGUUCAACUAAUGUGGAGAACUUACUCAAAUAACAUUGAUAGUUAGGAGUUGCAUUAUCAUAGGAGAGGUAACUAGCCAGUGGAUAUCUUGUGCCCUUUCCUGUUUUAGGUCCUGCAUAAUCUCUCAUCCACACAGGCUGUUGAGAAACUCUAGAUGUUCUUCUUAGUGGAGCAAUACCAGUUGAAGAAGGUGCUUCAAUGAUUUCCCCAGCUGGUGAUGCAUUCUGUGAUGUAGGAACUGAGUUGGUAUGAGUAGAUACUUCAGGAGUUAACAAGGGGUCAGAACCAAGGUCUGCAUUAAUGUCCAACACUGUGUCUGAAGUUGAAUCAACAUUCUCUACUUCUACUUCAGGAGAUUGGCUCAUUUCAUCAUCUAAUUCUUCAUAAGGAACUAAGAAGUCUGUGGAACAAUUAUCUGAGACUUUAUCCUUGGCAAAUGGAAAGAUGUGUUCCUGAAAAAUGACAUCUCUAUUGACAAAGAACUUGUUAGUGUUGUAAUCCAACAAUAAGUAUCCCUUCUGUGUAGCAGAAUAUCCCAUCAUGAUAGCAGGUCUAGCUCUCUCUGAGAACUUAUCUCCCUUUGGAAGUACUGAGGCAUAACACAAACAACCAACCACUCUAAGAUGGGACAAACAAGGACAUCUAGAAAAUAGCAGCUCAAAUGGACUUUUACCCUUUAUAGCUGAUGAUGGUAACCUAUUCAAUAAGUAUACUGCAGCAGUAACACUCGGUCCCCAGAAUUUGAUUGGCAUAUGAGAUUGGAAUCUGAUGGCCCUAGCUAUAUUCAAUAUAUGUCUGUGCUUCCUUUCUACCACGCCAUUUUGUUGUGGUGUGUAUGGAUAACUACUUUGAUGCACUAUUCCUAAAUAUUGAAACAAUUCUCUGCAUUGGGAAUUAAAAAAUUUUGUGCCAUUGUCUGACCUUAUGACCUUUACAGACACACCAAACUGAGUUUUGAUCAGUAAGAAGAAAUUUUUGAGUGCCACAAUAGUUUCAGACUUUAAUUGCAACAAAUGAACCCAAGUGUACCUACUACAAUCAUCCACAACUGUCAAGAAGUAAUGUUUCUGAUCAAAAGUUGGAAUCCUAUAUGGUCCCCAUAGAUCUACAUGUAUAACAUCAAAACACAUAGUUGAUCUGUUCUCACUAAUUGGAAAUGGUAAUCUAGCUUGUUUAGCUAAAGGACAUACAUGACAAGUAUUCAAGGAAUCUAUGUCUUUAUUAUGCUGUAAAAGAGAUAAUGACUUCAGAACUUGAGCUAAGGGAUACCCAAGUCUCUUAUGCCAUAGUUUGCUAUCUUGCACUACUACUCCUGCAAUCUAGACUUUGUAUGUGUUUGUAGCCUUAGAUGUUUCUUCAUUCCAUGUGCACCUUUGAAAAUGUAUAAUCCCCCUUUCUCCUUACCAAUCCCCUUCACCUUGCCACUGUGAAGGUCCUGAAACACACACAAAUUAGGAUAAAAGGAGACAAAACAGGACAGUUGUUUAGUGGCCUUGGACACUUAUAACAGAUUAUACUUGAAAUCAGGAGCAAGUAAUACAUCUUGUACAACUGCAUCUUCAAAAACAAAGGCCUCUCCUAUGUGUGAUAUAUCUGCCUUAGCACCAGUGGGAAGAUGGACCUUAUCUCUUACUGCACGACUCUUUGAAAACACACUUUCGUUUGCUGUCACAUGGUGUGUAGCACCAGAAUCUACUAUCCAUUCUUGUGAUUCUACGUGAGACAAUAAGCAAGUAGACAUACCUGACAUAUUGACUUGUUUCAUCUCAUGUGGAUCUUUGUUCAAAAGCUCCAUGAUCUGUUUGUAUUCUCCAUCUGUAAAUGCUUGAGCCUUGGAUAAAACAACAUUAUUAACCUCCUUGUUCCCUUCCUGAUAAGUUUGCGAUGCAUUCUGACUGACAUCUCCACUUGAACUAUUUCCAAUAAAGUUAGUUCUGACUUGACUUCCAUACUGAGGCCCAUUGUUGUAUCCUCCAGACUGAGAACCUGCUCCUCUUGAAUUUCCAUUAUUGUAGUUCCCUUUCCUUCUUUGCUUCCAAUCUGUAGGAUAACCUAUCAGUUUAUAACAAUUCUCACUAGUGUGUCCAGUGAAAUGGCAAUAGUCACACUUCUUUCCUUUGUAGUUCUGAUUUCCAUAGCUGAUUUCUGCAUUUCUAUUCACCUGCAUUGCAAUUGGAUUAACCUUUUCACCCACACCAGUCAUACAGGCCAAAUGUUGGAUCUCAUCUUCUACUAUCAUUGCAUAUGCCUAAUUUAUAGUAGGUGUAACUCCUUUCAAUAGGAUUUGUCUUCUAGCUUGAUCAUAUGAAUCAUUCAAGCCACUCAAAAACUGAAUUAGUCUAAGCUCGUAUAGGUGAUCUGUAUAGUCCUUCGACUUUGGGCAGAUACAAGUUGGAGCUGGUACCACAGCAUCAUAUUCACUCCAUAGAUUCUUCAGCUUAGUAAAAUAAUUCGACACUGAAUCAGUUCCUUGUAUGAGUGAAUUGAUUUCUCUAUGUAGCUGAUAAAGUCUCAUGCGAUUCACCUUAUCAAAUCUCUCCUUCAGGUCCUUCCAUACGUCAUAUGCACUUGUUGCAUAUACAAUUCCACUCAACAAUUCCUCAUUAACAGAGCUCAUCAGCCAUGACAAGACAAUUGCAUUACAAGUUUCCCAUUGCUCAUGCAAUUCAUCCCUGGUGAAAUUCAUCCCUGUACAAUUCUCUACUACAGGCUCUAGUCACAAAUCCAAAUUUCCUUUUCCCUAACAACGCGAUUCUCAUUGAUCGACUCCAAACUCCAUAGUUUUCUGAUCCAAUUAGCUUGACAGGAAUCAAUGCAGCACCAGAUGCAUCAUUUUGAAAGACAUAUUACAAAACAUUACUUUUAAGUUUUUACAAAAUAUUAAAGCAUAAUAUUGAAUUCUCUCCUUAUUUAAGAAAAAACAUAAGUAUGUAUUAAUGUCGCACGAAAAUUUCUGCUAGAAAAAUUUAUCUCUUCGGGUUCCCCAUAAUCAACAUUUAUUAUAUUUAUUAAUGUUAUUAGUCCCUCCGUUUCACAAAGAAUGACCUCAUUUCCUUUUUAGUCAGUUUCAAAAAAAUGACCUCUUUCCUUUUUUGGUAACAUUUUACUUUUUGCUUUCCACGUGGCAUGUUUAAGACCACAAGAUUAAGGGCAAUUUUGUACAUUUGACAUAACUUUAAUUUAGGACCACAAGAUUCAAAAGUCUUCUUUAAUUUCUUAAACUUCGUGCCAAGUCAAACCAAACCAAUCUUUUUGAAACGGAGGGAGUAGUAUUCAUUAGUUUUGCACGUAUUUUUUUUCUCCAGAAAAUUCAUUUCAAUAAUCCCCUUUCCUUCCCAAUAAUUAAUAGUAAUUAUUAAUAGGUUUUAAAUGUUGCACCUCUUCAAAUUCUAGCACUCAAUAAAAUGAUAGAAGUUUAGAAACAAAGCUCCAUCAACUUCUCCACUAUGCUAGGUGAAAAACUCAUAAUGCUACAUUUCGUCAGGUAAUAUAAAUUACUAUUAUUUUUAUUGGAUGAAUAAUAGAUAAUUGUAUUGACAAAUUCUUUUAUGUGAAUCAAAGUAAUGUGAUUUACUUAUUCGUGGUUAUAGUAAAAAAUAAAUCACACUAUCAGAAAAGUGUGAAUUACAUGUGAAUUUUCCUGGAGAUUAGUAUGAAAAUCUGUAGGAAACUUAUUUUCCUGCAAAUUUUCAUACUAAUUCCCAGGAAAAUCCUCAUGUAAUUCGCACUUUUCUUGUAGUACCAGUGAAGUGCCAUGAAAACUUGACAAGACAAUUACUUUAAAGUAAGUUUCUCCUUAGUUCAUACUAUAUUUGUAUAUUAUAUCAUUUUCUUAUAAUAACUAUAUAUCUUUUUUUUAAUUUGCUUAGUAUCAUUUUUGUUGUACACGAGUUUGUUUCAUUAAUUGUAGAAAGUGAAAAAAAAAAUGUGUCAACUGGCUACAACAACUAUUCAAAGUAUAAAGGAGAUAUUAAAUCAAAGGUCAUCACUACAUGAAUUAGUUCUGACUACAUUUUUCUUUUCCUCAUUUUUUUUUUGCCAUUCUCCUAAUUUUUUAAAUCUGUUUGAGUUCUGACUACAUUUUUCUUUUCCUCAUUUUUUUUUGCCAUUCUCCUAAUUUUUUAAAUCUGUUUUAAUUAUUAAAACAUAAAAAAAAUAAUCAAAAGUCAAUACUUAAAAUAUUUCUCUUCAAUAUACGUACGUUACUUAUUUUUUUUCAAUUAAUCAUUGUUAACUAUCACUUAUUGUAUUAAAGUCUCUUUAAUUUGUUAGUACUUAUCAUUUUAAUUUAAAAGUCUAAAUUUAACUAAAUAAUUUGUCAAUUAUUUAGGGAAAGACAAUUACUAUAGAAGACAAGGAAAGAUGAAAGAGUUUAGAUUUCAAAUAGGUGAUGAAUUUUUUUUUACAAAUUUUCUUUUUGAUUAUUUAAAAAUAGAGUGCAAUCUUUGACUAGCAACAAGAACUAGGGAACAAGAAAAUAAUAAAAUAAAAUAAAUAAAAAUAGGAAGGAUUGAAGGAACUAAUGAUCCGGAAAAACAAAAAAAUGAAGUAGGAUAAGAGGGUAAGAAAACGAGAUAAGAAGAAAAUGAUAAAAAAAAAUCGAGAGAAUAACUUUUUUUCCAAACUAGAGCUUAUUAUAAUUAAGGUAUGAACAAUUGAAGGGAUAUUAGAUACUGGGAAUAGGAAAAAAUGAAAAACAAAAAAAUUAAGAAACUAUAUUAAAUAUACAUUUCAUUUCUACUUAUUUCUACCUUUACUUUUCAUUUCAUGCUUACUUUAUUUUAUUAGAAAGAAAAAAAUUAAUAUAUAUUAUUGAUUUUGUAAGGAUAUGCAUGAAAAAAAAUGUUAUUACCUCGAUUAUAUUUAAAUGAAUUUAUUUUUAAAUUUUUAAAUAAUUUUAUGACCGCGCGAAGUGCGGAAAUGUUGACUAGUAAUUUAAUAAAGUAAAUGAAAGAGGUGACAAAGUAUUUAAUCUAUAAAAUAUUAUUGGGUCUUGCUUUUGAAAACAAAUGAACUUGAGUCAAUACAUACACUUUAGAGAAAAAAUCUUUUUUGUAAAAUUAAUUUAAACUUUGUUUAUACUCUAAACAAUCUGCAUUUUGAAGUUCAAAAAACAUAGAGGUUGCAUUCUUGCCCAAAAAAUAUGCAUUUUUACACUACAAAUCUGCACCUUUUAAACUUUUUAAAGCAAUACUUUUACACUCAAAAAACUAAUCUGCACUUCUGAAGUAGUUAUAGCUGAAAGCAAUACGGUUUCGAAGCUGACAUUUUUUGGGCAUAACAUAUCAAAAGGGACCUUCCCCAAAAAUACAGAUCAAAAUGUACGCUUCGUCCAAAAAUUGGUGGACUCUCUUCCCACCGUUAACGUCCGUUUCUUCGAAUGUAAAAUUAAUAUAUAUAUAUAUAUUCAUAUAUUCAAUGAUUUCGCCCAAAGAUGGGGAACUACAUUUUUUUUAUUAACUUUUUAUAUAAUUUCACGUGAAUAGAAUCUUCAUUUGCUGAUUAUUAUUUUUUCAGAUCCUUAGCUUGAACGUAAGUUUUGUCAUGUCUAGUUUGAUACAAGGAAUCCUGAGUUUCUUAAAGAUUAAUAGUACAAAAAGAUAACUAUUGGGUACUUUUUUCAUGAAAAUGUAUUUAUUUACUUACGAUCAAUAGUAAAAAAACUAUUGAGGCCGACAAGGACAAUGAUUUCUUUUAUGAUCGAAUUUUCCUAAACAAACUAUAUCUUUGUGUCAUGCAGCCUGGAGCACUGCUUAUUUUCAUUUUUGUGAUACCUAGUACCGUUAACUCCAAAAAUUCUUAGAUAUUGAGUAUUUGUAAUUAAAUUGAAUGGAGAAGGUAUAUAGACCAAUUAUAUGUCAUCGCCCAGUGAAAAAAGUGCUAUAUCUUUAUAAAUUUGCUUGUAAUCCUUUGAACUAUAAUACUUGCUGAUAACGUAGGUCUUUAGCUCAAUAAACACAUAUCACAAAAUUUUAUGGCACGUGGACAUAUAAAUAGAGAUGACAAGAUCGUUGAAUUUUUUAGAAGUCAUGUCAUCUUUUGUCUAAUAUCAUAAGGUUUAAAGACGAUCCGUUAUUGUCUAUGGGUAUAAUUGGAGAACAUUUAAGAACAGCUUCAACUGCAUUUUGACAAACCUCCCACAUAUUGGAUUAACACAAGCCUCGUAGAGCAAUGACCUAAAUAUUCCUGCAACCAUAACAUUGCAAAGAACAAAAUCAGUAAACACAUUUAAGGAGUCGUUUGGUGUGAGCUAGGUAGUAUAAAAAUCUCAGUAAUAAAAUGGAUCCUGCAUUUAGUUGGAGAUAUUAGGCAAUCCUGAGAUUAUUUAUCCCACUACUUGUAUCUUAGUGACGGAAUAAGUUAUCACUCAUACAUGGUGAAAUAAUUUAUUACAGAAUAACUUAUCACGAGAUAAUUAAUCCCAAAAUAAUUUAGCAUGUUGUAUGCAUGAAAAGACUUGAAUACAAAAUUGGGUUGGAGAUUUUUACUUCCAUUAAAACUUUUACUCAGUCGUGUUAUACUUACUCAAAACUUUUAGUAAAAUUAAAAAAAUUAUUUUUUUUAUAAAUAAAAAAUAUAGCUAAUAGCAAGUCACCAACUUUUAAUUCUUUAAAUCAUCCCAUUCAUAUAGCUUCUUUUUAUUUCUAGAUUUUUAGUAGAAUAUUUAAAUCAUCAUAUUAAUAUUAUCUAUGAGUUAUAUUGACUAUUUUUUUUAAUAUUUAAUUAAUUAAAAACACAAACUUUAACUAAAAUGGGGAGUAAAUUAAUUAUUUAUGGUUAUUACGUGAAACUAGCUUUAGUACUUUACUAGAGGCGCAGUGGUUUUUGUCUAAAUUAGAAUGCAGCAGUAUGUUUCCAUCUGGUUUUCCAUAUUCCUGGAAUAGGGGACCUGUACCCACCAUCAAGUCCGGAUUUUUCCAUGUAAAAUUAAGGGUAUGCAUCGGGUGUAUAUAAUAGCAAAUUAUUAAUUCAAAUUAAAUGCUAUAAAUAGAUUUUGAUUUAAUUGUAUCCUAUAGCAAACUAUUGCUAUUUUCGCCACUCUCCCUGGUGGAAUCUCGCUCGCCACUCUCGUUUGGUGGCAGUUUCGCUCGCCUCUCUCGCUUUUAUACACAAACACAAAUGUAUAAAAUGUGUUUGUGUUUGUAUAAAGCGAGAUGACAUUAUAUAUAUACAUAUUUUUUCGUUCCCCUUUCUCCCCUCUCCCAGAUCUCGCUCGCCACCCUCGCCUCUCUCACUUAUACAAACAGAAACGAAAUGUAUAAAUUGCGAUUCUGUUUGUAUAAAGCGGGAGAAAAUUGUAUAUACACAUGCAAAUACGUAUAUCUUCAUCCUAUACACUUAGAAUUAUACAAUACAAAUAUUUUCAUACCCAGUUUUCUUUUGCCUUUCUCUCUUUCUCGUUUUAUACAUACACAGAUUAUACAAUUGAUCUUUUGUUAUACAACUGCUUUCUUUUUGUAUAUGUAUAGCGAAUUAUACAACUGUCUUCUUUGUAUAUGUAUAGUGAAUUAUACAACUGUUUUUUGUAUAUGUAUAGCGAAUUAUACAUAUAUAUGUUUGCUAUGGAGCUCAAUUAUGCAAACUUUGCUAUAGCAUACAAAUAUGAAUUUUGCGUUUGCUAUAUGUGAAAGUUGCUCUUAUUUUUAUUAGUUCGAUUUAUUAAUUAACUUUUAAUUAUGCUAAAUCAAUAAUUAAAUUAAUAGGAUAUCUCUUAUUGAUUUUCGAUUUAUUAGUUAUGGAUGCUUAAUGAUUUGAUUUCUAAUUUAACCAAUAAAAAAAGAUACUCAUAAAAUAAAUAUAUAAAUUCUCUAAUAAUUUAAUAUGACAUGACAAUAUAAUAUAACUUUACGCAAUACUUAUAAAAUAGAGUUGUGGCUGUCAAUGCUAACAUAAACAUGAUUCUAAUGAAGUCCAACCCUUAAAAGUAGCAUAUAGGGGAGGAAUAUGAAAAGCAAAUAGUAUACAAGUGAAGUAUCAGAGAGAGGUAGAAUCACCACAUAUCAUGGAGGAGGUAGGCCCCAAAAGUUUGAGAUGGCUCCUGGUUUUCGGGAACAAAACUGGUUUGUUUUCACGACUGUGGGCGGGCUCAAUCUGUGGAUUACUGGCGUCGUUACUCACUCCCAUAAGCUAGGAGUAAUUCUUACGAGUCAUUUGGUAGAGUGUAUUAGUAAAAAUAAUGUAUGCAUUAAUUUUGUAUAUUAGUAGUUCCUUGUUUGGUCCUCCAUGUUGAGUUAAUUCUACUGUUGAGUUAAUUAUUCUAACUUUAUUAAUUAAUGUCAUGCAAAGAGACAAAUGCAAAAUACGUUUCAAAGGUGAAGAUACAUCCGUUCCAAACAAAAGUGAUGUAAUGGCCUUUAAUGCCAUUAGCCUUGACAAUAUGUUUCUAAAAUUAAACUCUCUUACUUGCAACUCCUUUUCUUGCAAAUCAUAUAUAAGAAGAGGCUUUGGUGAACAUAACACAACAUUACCAACAUAAACAAAAAGAAGAGAAAAACUUCUUCUUCCUUUCUCCUUAUUCUUAGAAUAUUGUUGGGCAAUUGGUUUUGAGCAACCUCCAAACUCUCAACCACGAGUGCAUGUGUCUGAGAGUAACUGUGGAACCUUGGGGAGCGAUCGGCUACAACGAUUUGCACCGGAGUUGAGCCGAAAUCACUUUCAAGGCAGUGGCUUGCCACAACACAGUGUUUGUGAUAAGUUAUUUACUACUUUAUAAUUCCAAUCAAAUAUCAAUAUUAUAGUAUUUUUCCCAACAAUUUGAAAGCGAUUUACUAACAUACAAUAUUGAUAAAUGGCUAUUUCUUUGAACAAAUUUUUUUUUGAUUUGUCAAAAUUUGAGCCUUUGGAUGGAAGUAAUUUUAAACGAUGAUCACAAAUUUUUUUAAUUUUCUUUGAACAAUUAGAAGUUGAUUAUGUUUUAUUUAAAGAACCUUCUAUGAAUGGUUCUAACACCACUAUUGAUUCUAGCAAUGUUAUGGUUGUUGAUGAUGUUGUUAAAAAGAAGUUUGAAAAGGAUAACAAAAUUGUGAGAGGACAUUUGUUAAAUCAUAUGAAAAAUUCUUUAUUUGAUUUAUUUUUAACCUAUAAAUCUACCAAAGAAAUAUGGGAUAGUUUGAAAAAGAAAUAUGGUACUGAUGAUGCAGGAAAGAAAAAAUAUAUUGUCGGUCAGUGGAUUAAAUUCCAAAUGGUUGAUAAUAAGUCAAUAAUGAAACAAGUUCACUAAUAUGAGAACUUGACUGCUGAUGUUUUCAACGAGGACAUGAAGAUGUGUGAGAUAUUUCUGCUUGAAAAAUUCCCACCAUCUUGGAGUGAUUAUAGAAAUCAAUUAAAACAUAAGAAAAAGAAUUUAACUCUCCAAGAACUUAUUCGUCACAUGAGGACUGAAGAGGCGAACCGUCUCAAAGAUAAGAUGGAAGAAUUUUUCUCUUAAUUCUUCUAAAGCUAAUCUUGUUGAAUCUUCUGGUACUAUUGUGAAAGACAGGUUUAAAGGCAGACAGAAGAAAGUCUCGAAAAAGGAACAUAUGAAGAAGAAAAAUCAAUUCAACAAGCCGGAGAGCCAAAUUCAAAAAUUUAAGAGUCCUUGUUUUGCUUGUGGAAAAGUUAGUCACAGGGUUGCCAAGUGCUAUCAAAGAAAGAGGCAGGACUCAAAGUAGGAAGGACAAAAUGAUGUCCAACCUCGUCUUGCUGAGGGUAAUGAAGUGAUUGUUGUUGUAGUCGUUGAGGCAAAUCUGGUGGCUAACAAAACUGACUGCUUGCUGAGGGUAAUGAAGUGAUUGUUGUUGUAGUCGUUGACGCAAAUCUAGUGGCUAACAAAAUUGACUGGGUGCUAGACACAAGCGCUUCAAGGCAUUUUUGGCCAAUAAGAAUUUAUUUUAUGACUUUGAGGAGUCCAUUGAUGGCGAGUGUGUAUAUAUGGGUAACUCUACUACUGAUGUAGUAAUGGGUAAUGAAAAAGAUUUACUUAAAUUAACUUCCCUUGAACAAUGUUUUGUAUGUUCCCUCCCUCCGUAGAAACUUAGUUUCCGGAGCACCUCUCAACAAAGUAGGCCUUAAACUUGUUUUGAAGCUGAUAAAAUGAUUAUUUCUCGUGGAGGAGACUCCGUUGGGAAGGGAUAUCUUAGUGGGGGAUUAUUUGUAUUGAACAUUGUUCAAGAGAUUGUCAAUAACGCAAGUAUUUCAAAUUCUGCUUAUAUUAUCGAGUUUAUUAAUUUAUGGCAUGGUAGACUAGGUCAUGUUAAUAUUGCAUCUAUUAAAAGACUUAGAAAAAUGGAAUUAAUUCCUAUGAUAAAAACUGAUGAGUUUUCUAAAUGUCUUGUGUGUAGAAGCAAAGCAUGCCAAGAAACCUUUCAAAUUUGUUAUUAGUAGAAAGACCGAAUUACUUGAACUAAUACAUUCAGAUUUAGCAAAUUUCAAGAACAUUGCUAGCAAAGGUGGAAAAAAGUAUUACGUUACUUUUGUCGAUGACUUUUCUAGAUACACUAAGGUAUAUCUUCUUAAUUCUAAAGAUGAGGCUGAAAGCAUGUUUUUGAAAUUCAAAGCAGAAGUGGAAAAUCAAUUAGACAGGAAAAUCAAGAGAUUUAGAUCGGAUAGGGGCAGUGAAUAUUGUACUAAAACUCUAAAGGAUUUUUGUGAGAAAAUGGUAUUAUACAUGAGGUUAGUGCUCCCUAUACUCCCCAACAAAAUGGUGUAGCCGAACGAAAAAAUAGAACCCUUAAAGAAAUGAUGAAUUUUAUGCUUCUAAGCUCUGGUCUAUCUGAAAAUAUGUGGGGAGAAACAGUCUUGCUUGCGUGCUAUAUUCUUAAUAGAGUCCCUCAUAAGAAGUUAGACAAGACCUCAUAUGAGUUGUGGAAAGGAUUUGCCCCUAACUUGAAAUUUUUGAAAGUGUGGGGGUGUUUGACUAAGGUUGGUCUACCUGAUUUUAAACGAGUAAAUGUUGGUUCUAAGACUUUUGAUAUUGUCUUUAUUGGUUAUGCUCAAAAUAGUGCUGCAUAUAGAUUUAUGUCUCUCAAUGAUCACACUAUUUGUGAAUCUAGCGAUGCAAAAAAUUUUGAGCAUAUUUUUUCUUUGAAAAAUAAUAUGUUGAGUGAUGUGCAAAAUAAUGCUUCUACAUCUAUGUCUGUUAAUUCUCAUGUUGUGCCUUCUUCUAAUGUUAUUUCUAAUGAGCAUGAAAAUGAACUUAGAAGGAGUAAAAGACGUAGAAUUGAGACAAGUUUUGAACCUGAUUUUAUCACUUCUUUCUUAACUGAAAAUUUGGAUAUUAAUAUUUUAAAUGAUGAAUCAGUGUCUAUCUAUUUAAUAGAAGAAGACCCUAAGACUUAUGAUGAAGCUAUGAGAUCAAUAGAUGUUAUAUUUUGGAAAGAGGUAUUAAAAGUGAAUUAGACUCUAUAGUUUCUAAUCACACUUGGAACUUGUAUGAUUUACCUAAAGGUUGUAAACUCAUAAGUAGCAAGUGGAUAUUUAAGAAGAAAUUGAGACAUGAUGGUACAAUUAAUAAAUAUAAGGCUAGAUUUGUUAUUAGGGGUUUUAACCAAAAGAAAGGAGCUCAAUUCAAUCAAAUCAUGAAAUUAGGCUGGGCUGGCCCAAUAGUCCAAGCCCAUGCCUGUGGCUAUAUUUCAAUGGAAAAUUUUUCAAAAUGUCAAAAUUUUGAUAUUUAAUAGGAUCUCUUAGCCAUACUCUUCUUUUAAUAUUUAUUUAAAAUGUCAAUAUUUUAGUUUGUUAUAUAUCUUAUGUAUGUAUUUUCUUAUUUGUAUGAUUUGCAAGAAACACAAUUAUUUAAUAACAGAAAGGAGAAAAUCAGGGGAGAUAAUAUUUAAAAAAAGGAACAUAUCACUUAAAAUUCUCACCAGUUACAAUUUCAAAGAAAUCAACUUUUUUUUUAUUAUGUUUUCAUUGUAAUUGUAUACCAAUAUUUUUUACAUUUAAUGUGUUGACUUUACCUUUCAAAUUAAAUUUGAUAUUUUACUUUCAUAGUGAAAACUACAAAUCGUAUCCCAGUGAUCAAAAUUGUAUUACAUGAUUGCCAAAUAUAUUUUUCUUUUAUUUGUAUUAUAAAAAUAUCACUGAUUGUAUCCCAAUAUAAUUAAUCAUUACAUAUGAAUAUGAUUUAUGAAAGGAUACAAGAUUCUGAAAAAAAAAAUUAGCAUACAUGGUGGAAAUAAUACAAUCUAUUGAGGAAUGAUACAAUAUUCUAAAAAAAAUUAGAAGUUGGCUAUGAAAGAAACAGAGAUACAAGAUUCUGGAAAAAAAUUUAGCAUACAUAGUGGAAAUAAUACAAUCUGUUGAGGAAUGAUACAAUAUUCUAAAAAAAAAUACAAACUGGCUGUGAAAAAAAUAGAAUACAUAUAUGCUUAAGAAAUAUGAAUCAAUUUGACAUACGUACUUGAAUGACCACAAACUUAAAAGAAAUACAAUGUUCUUAAUAAAAUUACAAAUGCUGAGAAAAACAAAAAUAAUUAACAAACAAAAAUUAAUAUGAAUACAAUCCUGGUAUGAAUACAAUUCAACUUUCUUCUCUCAAUCUCUCUUUCUUCUUCUUCUUCGUCUGCUAUGUUGUUUUUUUUCUGAUUUUUUUUUUUUAUCAAACUCAAAUCCAAAUCCGUAUUCACUUGUGCAUAUAUUAGUAACCCUAUAAACAAAAUUUGAAAUUAUUAAUUAUGAAUGUAUAAAAAAUCAAACAAUAUAUGAUGUAUGAAUGCUAAUGUAUGUAGAUUACUAUAAUCUAUUAAAUCUCAAAUAUGAAAACAAAAUCACAAAAAUAAUAAUUGAACAAUAGAGUUUAAAAGACGAAAAAUUCGAAAUACAUAGAAGAGGGAAAUCUCAUAAAAUACUUGGUGAAUAUGAGAACCUCACAAAAAAAUCAAACAAUAUUAUUCAAAGACGAAAAAUCCGAAAUACAAAAUACUUGAUAAUUGUGAAAACAAAAUCACAAGACAUCUCACAAAAUACUUGUUGACUUCGAAUUUACCUUUAUCCAUGGUUGAAAAAUCUUUUGAAUUAAUUGUGAGAUUUCUUGAACAAAGUGUAGGAAAUUGGAAGAGUUGAUUUUCUUGAAUAAGGAAAGGCGAUAACAAUGGUGAAAAGGAAAGAGAGAGAAAUGAGCAAUUUGGGGUAAAACCUAGAAAGAGAGGUAAGUGGGUAAUGGGGGUAUAAUUAUUUUUAUUUUACGGAUGAGGGAGUAAAAAAGGGUCUAACUUGAGCAUGAUUUGAGAAAUAAAAGGAAAAGAAAUUAAUUAUAUUAGGAUACAAUUAAUCUUCUAAAAUAUUGACAUAUUGACAUUUUUAAUAAUUAUUUUUAAGUGUAGAUAUUUUUUAUAAUUAUAUUAGGGAUUAUGACUAGUUUGCUAAUUUUUCCUAUUUUGAUUAUUCUUUAGAUAUGACUUCUAUAAAUAGCUAUUUGUGAACUUCACCUCAUCAUAUAUGGCAAAUUAGGCACUUUCAGGACAACAAGGGUUACAACUUUCAAUUGACAAUUGGCACAAACAGCCGCAGACGUAUAAAAGUUAUAUUUUAUAAAUUUAUAAGAGAGAAAAAGUUGAUUUAUAUUUUCAAAUAAUUAUCCUACAUUAGCAAAAAUUGCUUUCAAAGCAAUGACUUGCCACCACACAAUGUUUUAUUUUAUAAGUUAUUUUUGUUCUCAUUUUGUUAUUAAUUAUCAAACUAGUUUUGAAUAUGUAGCAAGAGUUAAUGGGAAAUGGAGGGAAGAUGAAAAGAGAGGAACUUGAAAAGUUGGGAACUUGAAGAAUUGGAAACUUGAAAAGUCCUUUUAUGCUUUAGUGAAAAGGCAUUUCUCCCUCAUCGGUGGUGGAAAGAAAAAUAAAAGAGUUUAAAUAUAGAAACACUCCUAUUAAUUGUUAAAAGGGUUGGAAAGAGGGACCCCUUCGCACCGUCGUCGUCGUCGCUCGCUCGCUCGGCUUCGGCGACAAAGUUUGUUUAAAUUAUUUAUUUAAUUAAUUAAAUUAAAUUAAAUGGCCAAAACGUCAAAAUGUUUCAAUUAAUUAGUUAAUUAACCAAAAUGUUUCGGCUAUUCAGUUAAUUGACCGACCUGACUCGGAUCCGCGCGCGACCCAUUUUAUUUAAAUUCUUUUCCGUUUUAUUUAAAUUUCCCGCCGUUGGAAGUGACUGUUCUAAAAGGUUGCAACUUUCAUGAACAGUCAUGACCGUUUGAAAGGUUGCAAACUUUCGUGAAUGGUCGUGUGGAUUCUGAAAGGGUUGAUUCUUCAGAUUUAUUAAUUACGAUUUUUUCUGAUUUCUUCUUCUUCUUCUGCACAAAGUUUCUUCAUAUACUUUACUGUUAUUGAGUGGUUCGAUGAUACCAGAGUUUUGGGUAUCAAUACACUGGUGAUUGAGAUCAUUCUAUCCUGGGAGGACAUAUUCCAAAUCAAACCUCAAAUACUAGAGGGGAAUAAUUUCUUUAAGGGGGCACUGUGCAGUCAGUGGGCUUGAUCUUUUCCGUUCUGUCUUUUUCCAGAUUCUAGUAUGUUUUUCAGAUUUUAGUUGUUCUAAAUUAAUUUCUGUUCUUCUAUUUUUACUAGUUCAUUAAAACUUUGAUUACUUCGUGUUUCUGCAAAGUUUAUUGGAAUCAGAAAUUCUGUUUUAAACACAGAUUGACAACAAUUAUAACAAAUUGUUCGAUUUCAGCAGUCCCAUAAUGGAUCAAAAAGAUUUAUAUUGAAUGUCCUGCUCCUGCCUGAACUUUCCCAUCAACCAAACCAUACUCCAUUAAUGCAUUCUUUUAGUUUUGUAUAGGUCUUCGAUCAAUAUUGAUCUCGGAGGUUUUGGUACUUCAACUCGUCCAAUGUACUUUAUUUUUCUUUAAAUAAACACAAUGGGGGUCGAUGCCGAAUCUGUUAUGAAUAUGAGAAUCAAAAGUUACGCAUUGUUAUCAAUGUAACAGUAAAGCUAGUUACAAAAUGUUAGUUACAAAAGUUUGUUAUAAUGUUAGUUAAAGGUAACUCUAGUUAAUUUAGACUAACUAGCUUGUACAGUUAAGAUACACUAUAAAUAGAGUAGUGUAGGCAUUAUUUGUAUUGUAUCAGAUUAUCAUUCAAUACAGUGAAAAGUUCUUCUUCUUUGAUUGAAUCAUCUGCUCUAUAAUUCUUCAUGGUAUCAGAGCCAUGGAUGCUCUCCUGAUGUAUUCCGCAAAUUAGGUUGUUAAACUCUUCUGCUUGCAGUGCACACGAAAGGCUCUCCAACAGAGUCUGCAUUAUCUUAGAAGCAGUCCUGUUUUUACUUCGUUUGUUGCUCCUGAUUCAGUGAAGAUCUUCAUCAAUGACGAUAGGUGAAGGCUCCAAUCCUGACACUCUUACUCCUUCAGCUGGUGGUAGAGAAGCCAUAGUUGAUUCACAUCAUCCUUUGUUUCUUCAAGCGUGUGACACUCCAGGUAGUUCACUGGUCUCUACUCAAUUAAUUGGAUCUGAAAACUAUUCUUUGUGGAGCAGGUCUAUGAAGAUAGGUCUGCUAGGCAAAUGUAAAAUAGGAUUUGUGGAUGGAUCUAGUUCUAAAGAGAAGUUUCAAGCUUCCUUCCAUAAUAUGUGGGAGAAAUGUAAUGCAAUUGUCCUUUCAUGGAUCAUGAUUUCUGUUAGUCGAGAACUUCUCAGUGGGAUAGUUUAUGCUAAUAGUGCUCAACAAGUUUGGAAUGACCUGAAGGAAAGGUUUGAUAAGGUUGAUGGAUCACGUAUAUUCUAUCUACAUAAGGAGAUUGCUACACUCACUCAAGGAAUAUUGUUUGUUUCCAUCUAUUUCUCCAGGUUUAAAGAGCUUUGGAUGGAGUUUGAUUCUCUCAUGCCCUGUCCUGGGUGUGACUGUUUAGUUUCAAAGACUUAUGCAAUUCAUUUUGAGUAUCAAAGGCUUAUGCAGUUUCUCAUAGGUCUCAAUGAGUCUUACAACCAAUGUAGAAGCCAAAUUAUGAUGAUGGAUCAUGUUCCCAGUGUGAACAAAGCCUAUUCACUAGUGAUUGUAGAAGAGAGUCAGAGGAUCCUUGGUAAGGCAAAUACUGUUGUUGAGAUGCCUUCUAACCAUGGAUACAAGAGGCUCUAGCCUUCUUUAGUGGCAGUAAUCAUACCUACUCAGGCUCCAGAGGAUCGGGAUCUGGUGGUCCUGGUACUACUGGAUCUACUUCCAGACCUAAGAAGCCAUUUAACAGUUAUUGUUUUGUGAUUACUGUAAUUGGAAAGGUCACACAAGGGAUCACUGCUACAAACUUCAUGGUUAUCCAUCUGACUGGAAAGGUAAGAAGAAAAUCAGUCCUGGUUCAACUAGCACAACUAGUUUUGCUGCUGCUAGUUCUGGUCCUAGUAGCCUCUCAAGCAGAUCUCCAUCAGGUGUUAGCAAUACUGGUGUCUCUCAUGCAUUUAUGACUAACCUGCAGCAUCAACAGUUUCAACCUCAUGCAACUUCACAGCCACAACAUCCUCAUUUCUCCCACCAGCAGUACAUGCGGAUCCUGCAAUUGCUAGAUCAGGGAAAUGGGAAGACUACCGCUGAUGCUCUUGUGUCUACCUCAGGUACAUCAGGUUUGUUUCCUACUUCCAAGUGGAUAUUUGAUUCAGGAGCUUCCAAACAUAUGGUUCAUAGUCUGCGUAUGCUCAAUCACUAUACUACCUUGUCUGAGUCUCACGAAGGAAAAAUGUAUCUUCCUACUGGCAAUCUUGCACCAGUUAGUCAUAUUGGCUCAUCUCAGAUCUUAGGAGGGGCUGAGAUCACUAAUAUGCUUCAUGUUCCUACUUUUCAAUACAACUUAUUAUCUGUUCCUAGACUAACAAAGGAGUUGAAAUGCAGUGUUAUGUUCUAUCCUAAUUUCUGCAUUUUCCAGGACCUCUCCAAUGGAAAAGUGAGGGGGAUUGGCAAGUUGGAGAAUGACAUGUAUGUGAUUACUGCUGACUGUCAUUUGCAUUCUCAAGGAGCAGAAUUGAGUUCACCUAAAGAUCAAGCUAUUGCAGUUUCUAAGUCUUGUCUUGUACCUUCUUUACAUUCAUCUAGAAUAAGUCUAUCAUUGUGGCAUAAAUGCCUAGGUCAUGUACCUUUUAAUACUCUUAGACAAUUUAGUUCUUUGCAACAGUUGCAUCCUACUACUGAUGCACCUUAUACUGUAUGCCCUUUAGCUAAACAAUCAAGACUAUCUUUUCCUUUAAGUGCUACUUCUACUACUGCUUGCUUUCAACUUUUACACGCUGAUGUAUGGGGUCCCUAUAGAGUUCCAACUCAUGAUAAUAACAGGUAUUUUUUAACCUUAGUAGAUGACUACUCAAGGUAUACCUGGAUAGUUUUGCUUCCCUCCAAAUCUGAGGUCAUAGUUGCACUCAAAAAUUUUCUUAUUAUGGUUGCAAAUGUUUUCUCUUCCUUAGUCAAAAUAUUAACGACAGAUAAUGGCUGUGAGUUUUUUAAUUCCCAAAUGACUGUUCUCCUGGAGUCUCUAGGUAUUUUACACCAAAGUUCAUGCAUAUAUACCCCUCAACAAAAUGGAGUUGUUGAAAGGAAACAUAGACAUAUACUUAAUGUUGCUAGAGCCUUGAGGUUUCAAUCUAGCAUGCCUCUUAAAUUUUGGGGUGAGUGUGCUCUUACUAGUGUCUAUUUGAUCAACAGAUUGCCUUCAUCUAUUUUACACAACAAGACAUCUUAUGAGUUGCUUUAUCUUAGAUCUCUUUCUCUUGAUCAUCUUCGAGUCUUUGCGUGUCUUGCUUUUGCUUCUGAAGUCAGAAAGGUUGACAAGUUUACUCCCAGAGCUUUCCCUACUGUGUUCUUGGGGUAUUCUACAUUACAAAAAGGGUACAAAUUGUUUUCUCUUCAUACUUAAGAGUUCUUAGUGUCCAGAGAUGUAGUUUUCAAAGAGGACAUAUUUCUCUUUACUCAAACCACUUCCUCAUGUCCUCCUUUGUUUCCUAUCUUUCAGUUUACAGAGUCCUUUACUAAGUCCACUCCAGUUCCUCCCAUUGCUACUCUUUAUUCUUCUCUUUGUCCAGCUUCUAUAGUAUCUGAAUGUCCCUUUUCUCCUGCCUAUGCAUCUGAUAUGUCUGCAACUGUUCCCUUAAGAAGAUCCUCUAGAAAUUCCAAACCUCCAAUUUGGCUUCAUGACUAUGUUACUACUCAGCCUAAGUCCACUUGUCUUUAUCCUUUAUCCAAUCAUGUCAGCUAUCGCCAUUUGUAUCCACUUUAUGGCUUAGCCUUAGCUGCAUAUUCCAGCAUCCUUAAGCCUAAGUCUUCCAUAAGGCUGCUCUUAAUCCUUUGUGGGUCGUAGCUAUGCAAGCUAAGAUCAAAGCCUUGGAAGAGAAUCAUACCUGGUCUAUCACUGAUCUUCCUUCUGAUAAACAUCCAAUUGGCUGUAAAUGGGUGUUUAAGGUGAAAUAUCUUGCAUCUGGUGCUGUUGAAAGAUACUAGGCUAGACUUGUUGCAAAGGGGUUCAAUCAGAAAGAAGGCUUGGAUUAUUCUGAAACUUUCUCCCAUGUUGCUAAGAUGGUUACUGUGCGGUCUGUUCUAGCUGUGGCCUCUGCUAAACACUGGCUUGUGUUCCAAAUGGAUGUCCAUAAUGCAUUUCUCCAAGGUGACCUGGUUGAGGAUAUGUAUACGGUUGUUCCUCCAGGCUUUUGCAGACAGGUGGAGUCUGGUAAAGUCUGCAAAUUACACAAGUCACUAUAUGGUUUAAAGCAGACACCUAGGCAAUGGAAUUUUAAACUAAUAGAAGCAUUACUUCAGCUGGGAUUUGUUCAAAGCCACUAUGACUAUUCUCUAUUUACCAGAAGUGAAAAUAAAAAGUUGAUAAUAAUUCUUGUUUAUGUUGAUGACCUUCUGAUAACUAGAAGCUGCAAGAAGCUGAUUGACAGGACCGGGAAUGAUCUGCAACUUAAAUUCAAAAUGAAAGACCUAGGAGAAUUGAAGUUUUUCCUUGGAAUUGAAUUCGCCAGAUCAAAAGAAGGUUAUAUUAUGAGCCAACGUAAGUAUGCCUUGGAACUUGUCUCAGAAAUGGGUCUAAGUGGUGCCAAGCCAGUCAACACUCCACUGGAUCCAAACCUCAGACUAACCUCUAUUGAAUAUGACUCACAUGUACAAGAGGCAAACACUACAUCAAGUGACAAACCUUUGGAAGAUAUUGGUAGAUAUCAAAGCCUUGUAGGGAAACUGUUGUAUCUAACUAUGACCAGGGUAGAUAUCUCCUUUGCAGUACAAGUUCUAAGUCAAUAUAUGCAUGCACCCAAAGAGUCUCAUAUGGAAGCUACACUUAGAGUAGUCAAAUACAUCAAGUCAGCUCCAGGUUUGGGUUUGUUUAUGCCCUCACAAGAUUCUAAUCAAUUGACUGUUUACUGUGACUCUGAUUGGGGUACUUGCUUACAAACGAGAAGAUCUGUGACUGGAUACUUAGUGAAGUUUGGAAAUGCUCUUGUAUCUUGGAAGGCAAAGAAGCAAGAAACAAUUGCUAAAAGUUCUGCAGAAGCUGAGUUUAGGAGUAUGGCAUCUGCAGUAGCUGAAAUUACUUGGCUCAUUGGCAUACACAGUGAACUAGGAGUAACCAUCAAACAACCAGUUGAUCUAUUCUGUGACAGCAAGGCUGCAAUUCAGAUUGCAGCCAACCCUAUUUUUCAUGAGCGAACUAAGCAUUUUGAUAUUGAUUGCUAUUUUGUUAGAGAGAAACUGCUUAAAAAAAUGAUUCAGACACAUCAUGUAUCCACAAAAGAUCAGCUGGCAGAUCUGCUCACAAAAGGUUUAUGGAAAGCUCCACACUCACAUCUUAUGUCCAAGCUGGGAAUGAAAGACAUUUUUCAGCCAUCAGCUUGAGGAUGGGUGUUAUGAAUAUGAGAAUCAAAAGUUACGCAUUGUGAUCAAUGUAACAGUAAAGUUAGUUACAAAAGUUUGUUAUAAUGUUAGUUAAAGGUAACUCUAGUUAAGUUAGACUAACUAGCUUGUACAGUUAAGAUACACUAUAAAUAGAGUAGUGUAGGCAUUAUUUGUAUUGUAUUAGAUUAUCAUUCAACACACAGAAAAGUUCUUCUUUGAUUGAAUCCUCUGCUCUGUAAUUCUUCAGAAUCCCCUAUCACCACCGAAGGUGAAAGCCUGGAUGGAUGAUAUUAAAAUAAAAAUAAAAACGAGACCUUCAGCCUUUAGAACAAAAGAGAUUAUAAUGCAACUUAAUGUCAUCUAGUCCAAAUUUUGCACUAAGAGAAAUUCACUGCCGGUAAUAUAAUAAGAUAUAUGCUUUUGCUGAGAAAUAUUGGAAACAGAUUUUGUCAGCAUAAAAUGCACUUCUUGUUGGUUGUUAGGUAAUUAGACUUGCUUUCAACUUUCAAGCAUAACGAAUAGUUUAGUUCAACAUGUAUAGUAGAAAAAACAAUAGGCAAAAAAUGGUCUAAAUUUCAAAUGAUUGGUCGACGAAUAUAGAAAAGACUUAGAAUAGCAAUUCAUCUUCUGUAGGAAACAAGUACUGGUCUAUCUAUCAAGUUGGUAAUUUCAAAAAUCAUCAAUACUUCCAACCAAAACAAAUUGAAUUAGUUAAUUGUACUCCCAAAGUAAAAGGAUAUUACACUUUUAGUCACUAAGAGGUAGUUUGACCGGAGAUAUUAGAGAAAAUAAUAUUUGUAUUAGCUUUGAUACUACAUAAUUUAUUGUUUGGUAUACCUAUAUAAUUAAUUAUAUAGAGUGAUACAUUAUAUUCAGUAUUAUUAUAUAUUCACCAUGACAUUAACAAUAUAUACUAGUACUAUUCCUAUAUAUUCUAGUACAGUAUACUCCAAUUGGAUUACAUUUUUUAGAAAUUUAUACGAUAUAUAAUAUAUAUGUGUUAGUAUUUGAUGCAACAAACCAGACAAACGAUAAAUGAAAUAUCAGCAUGAACAUUACUAACCAUAUUAAGUAGUAUUCUUAUGUGGCAUUUCAAUCCCUAAAAGAUAAUAAUUACAUAUAAGUAUAUAACCAUUUAUAAAAGGCAAGACUUCGUUACACUACGACAAAGUGAUAUUUAGUGGGAAUCGAUUUUUCUCUUAGUAUUGCCACAAAAAAAAAUUGCGACAAUAUUUUGCGAUAAUUGAGUUAAUUCAAAGAUGCUACAGUUUUUCACGAUAUUUAUAUAGAAUGCUGAUAGUAAGUAUCAAAAAUUAUUAUUAUUAUUAAAUAUAUUAUAACAAUUAGAAUCUUAUUUUAAUCAAUCAAAUUUUAGUCAUUAAUUCUUGCAUAUGCCAUGUGUCUCACAUCCAAGCAAGAACUUGGGAAAAAUGAAGAAAAGAGAAAUAGAGAGUAACCGGAUCCAUUAUAAGGCAUAUUGUCAUUUGUCCGUAUUUAUAAGUUAAAUUUUAAAAAAAUUCAAACAACUGCCAGUGGCCAUAAAUGAAAAUGAUGCAUCCAGAAAAAUACGUCUGGACCUUCUGUAGUAAGGAAUGGUCUCUUCCAAGUCCAAUAAAAAAGACUGCAAAGUCCAUCCACUACUACUGUAACAUGAGGCUAAACUGCACUCUCAAUACAUAGAAAAAUUAACCAACAAUGCAUUAUCUAUCACACAUUCAUAUCCUGGAUGAGAUAAGAUUCACCAUCUUCCGACACGUGGCACUUCUAUUCUUGUCUAUUAAAAUAAAAGACACUUAGCUCCAAUUUCUUAUCUUUCAUGUGGCCAUUAAAUUUUGUAAUAUCAACAGCCACAUAAUCCAAUGGUCACCCUUCAUCUAAGAUGAGGUUUCCUUUGUUUCUAUCCGUUAGAUUAAAAAAAACGUCUAACACCUUAUCAUUAUAUAAAGGGAGUAAGCCACAGUGUAAUAAGCAUCUUAAAAAAAAAACAAGUUUCUUUGAAGUAAAAAAAAAAAAAACGUUUUAUAGCUAAGUAGUAACGUAAUGGCUUCCUCAAUUGUCUCCUCAGCAGCCGUUGCUACCCGUAGCAAUGUUGCUCAAGCUAGCAUGGUCGCACCCUUCACCGGACUCAAAUCCGCCGCGUCUUUCCCCGUUACUAAGAAGAACAACAACGUUGACAUUACUUCCCUUGCUAGCAACGGUGGACGUGUUAGAUGCAUGCAGGUUCAAAUAAUAAUUAUCAGUAUAUAUAUAUAAAAUUUAAAUUAACUAGUUGUCGUUUAUUUAUAAAAUAAAUGUGUUAAUGUAGGUGUGGCCACCAAUUAACAUGAAGAAAUACGAGACAUUGUCAUACCUUCCUGACUUGUCCGAUGAGCAAUUGCUCAAGGAAGUUGAGUACCUUUUGAAAAAUGGAUGGGUUCCUUGCUUGGAAUUCGAGACUGAGGUCAAUAUCUCCUACAUACUUUUACAUGUGUAAUUUAAUUUGUUGAAGGAGAAAAUAAAUGUAUGUUAUAUUG
rnacentral:lncRNA from 1 species